CUGGGUUCUUGACUACCAUGUUUGCGAUUGUAUUGCUCGUAUGGCCGUUACAUUUGAGAACAUUUCUGCUCUUCCUUGUAAUCUGCACGGCCAUUGUUUAUAUUCUCUUAGUGGACGAGAUCAUACCUAAAUUCUAUGUGAAAGUCGGGAAAUCAAGCAUCUCAAGCAAUGGGUUGGUGUGGUCAUUAGUCCUUGCCCUCAUUUUGUUCGGAAUGGCUGUACUAAGUAUGGGGAAAUUCACUUUGUCCUUUUGGCGCUUCAUUAUCUGUUUGCGGAGGAAUAGAACCAAUCCAGGGCAACAGUCUUGAAGAUCUUCACGAAAUCACUGCCUUAUAGUUAUCAAGAGGCUUAAAUCAUUACCGACUACCUGGUUAAUUUAGCCCUUGCUUGUCAUAAUUUCACUUGGUGGGAUGCUCCACAUCCUGAAAUGUCAAAGAUGCUUUUUAUGAUGCUAAUGGUUUCCUUCGUCAUCAAUUUUACUUAUGAUGCUAAUGGUUUCCUUUGUCAUCAAUUGUACAUAGUUUAUGUUGUUUCAUCUCCAUUUAUUUCUCCACUGUAAUAGGCGUUUCGAGAUUUUUAAGGGGUAAUUUGGUGUACUGCUACUUUAUUUAAGAGUGCAAGUGACAUAUCAUGUUGCCAUGAGAAGCUUCAAAUAUGUCUUCUAACAAAAGGAAGUUAGCUUCCUUUGUCAUUGCAAAUAAUGAUCUCUUUCUAAAUAGGAUCCUUGUUAAUUUACGCACAAAAGAAAAAAUAACUAUUAAGAUUCAAAUCUGUUUCAAGACACCGGCUCUCUCUCAUUCCCAGUCCUGAUUUCUCUCUCCACCUUUACCCGGACAGCCAUUUAGUCUCAGGGCUCGUCUUGCACAGGAGUUCUUUUCUCAUUAAUCCAGACCACAGUUUUGUCCCUCUUAAAGACAAGCCAAGUCUUGCGCCCUUUAAAUGCCUUAAUGUUUUGAAAUAGUUGUUCAGGUUUACGAAUUGAGCAAUCUUCUCAUUGGGUUUCUAUUUUGUUCCAGCUUUGACUAUAGCAACUGGUAGUACAUUUAUAUUUAUAUACAAUCCUACGACGGAGCAAUUUGCUGUACUUCCUCUACCCAGCGGCCAAAUUGUUCAAUGAUGUUAGUUUAGCUUAUGAUCCUGUAAAGUCACCCCACUAUAAAUUUGUACAUUUUAAACUUGUAUGUGUUGAUUGUUUUCAAUCAUCUGUUCCUGUAAAAGAUGCUUACCUCAAUUAUGAAAUUGAAAUAUACUUGGGGGCUCUCUGGUUGAUGAAACAUAAUUAGCUUGAGGGGUUAAUUACAUAUUUCAGGCCAUCAAGCUAAAACACAAAAAGACUGUUCUGAGUCAGGGGUUGUCUCCUCUCACAGGAUAAACCCAAAUGCAUAACUUGUCAAUUAACACAAUUGGUUACAUGAUUGGUUACUCUUUUUGCUCUAGCAGUACCCAAAAACUCUGUUUCAUUUGUCUUGCUGGAAUUAACCCUACUUCCGAUCGUUGAUGUUAUAUAGAAUUACUGGAUCGGUGGCUGCAAUGUUUAUGCACCCAGGUCAAUUUAGGUGGUUAUAAACUGAAGUAAAACUACUAGUGAAUCAACUGUAAAAGUUUUAUUGAUAACCAUGCCUGCUGGCAUGACAGUUUUCAGACUGUUCAUAUUUUACAUUCAUAAUUUAUUAAUACAGCAGUGUCAAACGUUAAACACACCAGACAUCUUAAUAAUAAAAAUAGGAACUUAAUUGUCUGCUUACACCACAUCUAGUGUAUUGAUCGAUGCAAAUCCAUAGGACAUAAUGAGCUUAAUUAUUGCAAUAGUGUGUCGCAUUCCAAAGAAAAUAUGUCAUCUUCCAGGAACCUUAAAAUGUUGAGUAGAAUGGGCUCAAGUUAGGCUUUGUAGGGCCAGAUAUUAUGCACAUGUAAGCACCGAGCAUGGAAAAUGCAGAUACCAGAAGCAAUGGCCUAAGCGGAAGCUUAUUGAAGAAAAUCAUCAUCAAUGCUAUGGAUAAGAAAAAGGCAACGGAAUUGAAGGUAGUGACGAGUCGGGCAUGGUGCUCUUCAAAUGGGAUGACUUGGACGGCCAUUGAAGUGGCUGCUCAUCUUCAUCAUGAGCCCUCCAAGCUCCACUCUCUAGCUGAGCCAUCUUCAUUUCCAUAUCUGUCUUCCCAGAUUGCGCCGACACAGAUGACAUGUCCAAAGCUGUUAACUCAGCAUUCUCCAUAGCACUAACCUUGGCUAUGGAGAAAUCGGACAGAUUACAUUUAAAAGUCUGCAUAGCGUAGCAAGAAUAAAAUCAGAUAAGACAUAAGGCAGUGGUAACAAAAGAUAUCGAGUGUAAACUAACCUCAUCGAGCAGUAUAUUGGAGGCCUUAAAAUCUCUGUGAAAACCUGCUUCUCUGAACUAAGUAAAAAAGCCAGGCCUUGACAAAUUUUCGUGACAAUUUCAAGUCGUUCAGCACGAGGCGAUUGUUGAACAGAGGCAGGAUGUUCUGCACUGCCAAGCAGGAAGACAGUUAAUGCAAAUCUUUUAUAAUUUAUUUUCUUUCUUUAAUUAUCUGAGGUCCUUACCUCCUAAAUGAACAUUUUCCAAGCAUUUCUUCUGCAUGAGCCAUUUAUUCUUCCAGUAAUAUCUUUUGUCUCCUGUUAGGCAUAUAUUCGUUGACCAAUAUCCUUGUGAAGACCUAAUCUUGGCUUCUGUUUGCGAUUUCCUUGUGUAGGCUAUAAAGAUAUCGAGAGAAGGCUGAUUUGUAGACUGCUAAAUUAUAUAUUUAUUGAGCAACAAAAUCAUCUAUUUAUACAGCAUAAUGAAAACUAAAGUGCAGAAAAAUCUGCUACAUUUGAGCAUCAUAACUAAGUGCAGGAAAAUAGCAUGAAGAAGUGGUCAUAGUCCUAAAAAAUAGCAACAGAAAAAAAACUGAUUUAACUUCAUGAGUCAUUCCAGUCAACAUUCUCCUCCUUGACUCUGGAGCUGCAUACACCAAGCUUUUGCCUCAAGAAUUCAUAUCUAAUCUUUGGAAGUGCUUUUGUUAAGAUGUGAGCACUUUGAUUCUCUGUUUUGCAGUAGAUCAGCUGCACUUCUCAUUCUCUUUGUACCUCUCUUAGAAAAUAAAGUUUAAUCUUGAAGUGUUUUGUUUUGCCAUGGAACACUGGAUUAUUAGCAAUUGAAAUUGCAGCUUGGUUGUCCACAAAUAUUUGUGUGCCUUCUUGUUGUUCCAUAUGCAAAUCUGUCAUGAGUUUCUUGAUCCAAAGAGCUUGAUUCACAGCUGCAGCAACAGCUACAUAUUCUGCUUUUGCUGUGGAUUGAGCUAUGACUUCUUGCUUCUUAGAACACCAUGAAAAAAUUCCAGAACCAAAGCUAAAACAGUAACCUGAGGUGCUUCUCAUGUCAUCAACACACCUAGCCCAAUCACUAUCAGAAUAUCCAUGAAGAUGGAAGUUUUUAACUUGAUUAAACUUUAUUCCAUAAUCAAUUGUGCCCUUAACAUAUCUAAGAAUUCUUUUUGCUGCCUGAAAAUGAAUUUUACUGGCACAGUGCAUAUACCUUGAUAGCAAACUCACUGCAUGCAUGAUAUCUGGCCUGGUUGCAGUUAAAUACAUUAGGCAGCCUAUUAGGCUCCUGUACAGCAUUUCAUCCACCUUUUCAGCUCCAUCUUCUUUGCAAAACUUCUCCUUUUGAUUCAUUAGAGUUGCAGUUGGCUUGCACUCUUCCAUGUUGAAUUUCUUGAGAACUUUGCAUAUUUUUGCUGGGAUAGAAAUAUUUCAUUUUCCUUUUGAUGUACCUGCAUACCAAGGAAAAAUGUCAUCCUCCCAAGGUCUGUCAUUUCAAAGACAUCUUUCAUUUCUUCUUUAAACCUGUCAAUCAACUCCUUGCUACUUCCUGUAACGAGUAGAUCAUCAACAUACAGAGAUACCACAAGUACUUCGUUAUCAGCCUUCUUGAUAUAUAAAAUAGAUUCACUCAGACUUUUUUCGAAGCCUAAGUUUGUUAAGUGUGUGUCAAUUCUGCUAUACCAGGACCUUGAUGCCUAUUUUAAAUCGUACAGGGCUUUCUUCAGUCAAUAGACCUUCUCAUCUUGUCCUGGAAAAACAAACCCUUCAGGUUGCUCCACAAAAAUCUCUUCCUCCAAGUAUCCAUUCAAAAAGGUUGAUUUGACAUCCAUUUGGUGUAUAACCCAACCUUGCUGUGCAACAAGAGCUAGCGACAUCCUUAUGGUAUCCAACCUGGCAACAUGGGCAAAAGUUUCAGAAAAAAUCUACCCCAAACAUCUGGGCAUAUCCCUUGACAACAAGUCUUGCCUUGUGCUUGUUUACAGAACCAUCAGGAUUGAGCUUGGUCAUGUAAACCCACUUGACUCCUAUAGCUUUCUUGUGUUCAGGUCUGUCUACCAAUUCCCAUGUCUGAUUCUUUUCAAUUAUUUUUAGCUCGUCCUUCAUUGCAGUUAUCCACUUCUGAUCAUUUGCAGCUUCUUCAUACCCUGCAGGCUCCAUUACAGCAAUAUUACACAUCUGAUAGAUGUCAGAGAGUGAUCUGGUUCCUCUAACAUUUUCAUCGUCCGUAUCAUCAUUCUCUUCGACCUCAAGCUUCUUGUCAUUUUCCCAACUCCAAUUAUCUAACUCAAAGAAUUGAACAUCCCUGCUGACGAUUACUUUGUUUCUUUGCGGUAAGUAAAUCUUGUAGGCUUUUGAGGUUGAGCUAUAGCCUACAAAAAUCCCAAGUUCUGCUUUUUUGUCUAAUUUGUCUCUCUUCACUUGAGGGAUGUAAGAGAAACAUAGACAACCAAAUAUCUUCAGAUUAAACAGCUUUGGUUUGUAGCCAUACCAUGCUUCAAAUGGAGUCUUUUUCUGUAAAGCUUUUGUUGGCAAUCUGUUCAAUAAAAAAACUGCAGUGUUUACGGCCUCAGCCCAAAAUUUCUUCGGCGGCCCUUUAUCAUGAAGCAAGCAUCUUGCCAUCUCCAUUAUUGUCCGGUUUUUUCUCUCCACAACACCAUUUUACUGAGGAGUGUAAGGUGUAUCCAUGAAGAUGGAAGUUUUUAACUUGAUUAAACUUUAUUCCAUAAUCAAUUGUGCCCUUAACAUAUCUAAGAAUUCUUUUUGCUGCCUGAAAAUGAAUUUUACUGGCACAGUGCAUAUACCUUGAUAGCAAACUCACUGCAUGCAUGAUAUCUGGCCUGGUUGCAGUUAAAUACAUUAGGCAGCCUAUUAGGCUCCUGUACAGCAUUUCAUCCACCUUUUCAGCUCCAUCUUCUUUGCAAAACUUCUCCUUUUGAUUCAUUAGAGUUGCAGUUGGCUUGCACUCUUCCAUGUUGAAUUUCUUGAGAACUUUGCAUAUUUUUGCUGGGAUAGAAAUAUUUCAUUUUCCUUUUGAUGUACCUGCAUACCAAGGAAAAAUGUCAUCCUCCCAAGGUCUGUCAUUUCAAAGACAUCUUUCAUUUCUUCUUUAAACCUGUCAAUCAACUCCUUGCUACUUCCUGUAACGAGUAGAUCAUCAACAUACAGAGAUACCACAAGUACUUCGUUAUCAGCCUUCUUGAUAUAUAAAAUAGAUUCACUCAGACUUUUUUCGAAGCCUAAGUUUGUUAAGUGUGUGUCAAUUCUGCUAUACCAGGACCUUGAUGCCUAUUUUAAAUCGUACAGGGCUUUCUUCAGUCAAUAGACCUUCUCAUCUUGUCCUGGAAAAACAAACCCUUCAGGUUGCUCCACAAAAAUCUCUUCCUCCAAGUAUCCAUUCAAAAAGGUUGAUUUGACAUCCAUUUGGUGUAUAACCCAACCUUGCUGUGCAACAAGAGCUAGCGACAUCCUUAUGGUAUCCAACCUGGCAACAUGGGCAAAAGUUUCAGAAAAAAUCUACCCCAAACAUCUGGGCAUAUCCCUUGACAACAAGUCUUGCCUUGUGCUUGUUUACAGAACCAUCAGGAUUGAGCUUGGUCAUGUAAACCCACUUGACUCCUAUAGCUUUCUUGUGUUCAGGUCUGUCUACCAAUUCCCAUGUCUGAUUCUUUUCAAUUAUUUUUAGCUCGUCCUUCAUUGCAGUUAUCCACUUCUGAUCAUUUGCAGCUUCUUCAUACCCUGCAGGCUCCAUUACAGCAAUAUUACACAUCUGAUAGAUGUCAGAGAGUGAUCUGGUUCCUCUAACAUUUUCAUCGUCCGUAUCAUCAUUCUCUUCGACCUCAAGCUUCUUGUCAUUUUCCCAACUCCAAUUAUCUAACUCAAAGAAUUGAACAUCCCUGCUGACGAUUACUUUGUUUCUUUGCGGUAAGUAAAUCUUGUAGGCUUUUGAGGUUGAGCUAUAGCCUACAAAAAUCCCAAGUUCUGCUUUUUUGUCUAAUUUGUCUCUCUUCACUUGAGGGAUGUAAGAGAAACAUAGACAACCAAAUAUCUUCAGAUUAAACAGCUUUGGUUUGUAGCCAUACCAUGCUUCAAAUGGAGUCUUUUUCUGUAAAGCUUUUGUUGGCAAUCUGUUCAAUAAAAAAACUGCAGUGUUUACGGCCUCAGCCCAAAAUUUCUUCGGCGGCCCUUUAUCAUGAAGCAAGCAUCUUGCCAUCUCCAUUAUUGUCCGGUUUUUUCUCUCCACAACACCAUUUUACUGAGGAGUGUAAGGUGUUGUCAGCUGAUGUUCAAUGCCUGCAUCUUCACAAAACUUGUUAAAUUUUUCAGAGGUAUAUUCCAUUCCAUUAUCAGACCUGAUCACCUGCAUCUUGCAUCUGCUUUGAGUUUCAACCCAAGCUUUAAACUUCACAAAGAUGUCAGCAACCUUAUAUUUAAGCUUCAUAAAAUAAAACUAGCACAUUCUUGAGUAAUCAUCAAUGAAAACAAUAUAAUACUUACUGUUAUUCAAAGAUGGUGUUUUCAUUGGCCCUCCCACAUCUGUGUGUAUUAAUUGCAACCUCUGUAUAGCCCUCCAGGUCUUAUUUUGUUGAAAUGGAAUCCUGGUUUGCUUUCCAUACUGACAGGCAGCACAUUUAGGAGACUCCUCCUCUAAUUCAGGCAAGCCUUUGACUAGAUUGUUGUUCUUCAUGUAGAGUAGAGUUAUAUGAUAGAAAUGCCCUAACCUCUUGUGCCAAAGCACUGUAAUGUUAUCUUCUCUAUGUACAGAAGCAUGCUCUUCUUUCAUUAAAUCCAAGGCAAAGCUUUUGCCUUUCAUUUGAACUUUGAAUACUUCUUUGUCUUUUGCAUCUUUGAUCACACAGUUCUUGUCUUCAAACAGCACCUUAUAGCCUUUUUCUAACAACUGAGUAACACUCAAAAGAUUUUGAUUAAUUUCAGGAACAUAUAAAACAUCAUAAAUCAAUUUCAGACCUGUAUGGCCUUCAAUCGCUACUGUUCCUUUACUUUUUACUGCAAUGUGUGCCCCAUUUCCAAUUCUGACUUUGGAAAUAGUAGUCUCAUCAAGCUCUUUGAAGAGCUCUCGAUCAUAAGUCAUGUGGUUUGUACAGCCACUAUCUAUAAGCCAACUCUCUGUGGAGCUGUUGGUGGCAAAGCAUGAUACCACAAACAGUUGUUCCUCUUGGAGUUGAUCCUUAAUAACAUUGGCUUCUCUUUGUUGUUGUUGAGUCUUGCAUAUCCUUUCCACGUGCCCUAACUGACCACACUUGUGACACUUUGCAUCUGGCCUCCACCAACACUUAUUUUGUGGAUGAUUGGUUUUUUUGCAGUAAGGGCAAGGUGAAAAGACAUGAGUGUUGCUGCUUUGGCUAUUUUUGUUACUGCUUGCAAAACCUCCAAGCUUGUUGUCUUUGUUCUGUUUUUUCUUAUUUUUGCCACCUUUAUUGUUUUGUGAUUUGGCUUGAAAAGCACCCUCCACAUAUCCUUCUUGUCUCAUAAGCCUCAUUUGUUCCAGUGCCUGCAGUGCAUUCAACAAUUCUGCCAAGGUAAUACUUGACAGAUCUCUUGAGUUUUCCAAAAAUGAAAUUGUAGCCUCAAACUUUUAGGAACUGUGACUAGGAUUUUUUGGACAACUCUAGAAUCAGAAAAAUCAAUGCCAAGGAGUCUUACCUUGUUGACAAUCUUAAAAAGUCUGUCAUAAUAUUCUUGAAUUGUUUCUGAUUCUUUCAUCUUUUGCAUCUCAAAUUCUCGAAUCAAAUUCAGCACUUGCAUCCCUUUGACCCUUUCAUUUCCUUUGUAUUCUUGCUUCAAAAAAUCCCAAAUUUCCUUGGUUGUUUUGAGCGUCAUUAUUCUGAUUUGUAGGCUAUAAAGAUAUCGAGAGAAGGCUGAUUUGCAGACUGCUAAAUUAUAUAUUUAUUGAGCAACAAAAUCAUCAUUUAUACAACAUAAUGAAAAUUAAAGUGCAGAAAAAUCUGCUACAUUUGAGCAUCAUAACUAAGUGUAGAAAAAUAGCAUGAAGAAGUGGUUAUAGUCUUAAAAAAUAGCAACAGAAAAAAAAAACUGAUUUAACUUCAUGAGUCAUUCCAGUCAACACCUUAGCAGUCCUCGUGCACACGAGCAACUGACUAUUACGAAUCUCCUCGAUCAUUGCUUUGAUCAUGAGGAGGCUACAAUCUCGCGGUAGCGUUUUAAUCACCCAAACAAAAACCCUAAAAGUUUUGAAUCAAAUUAACCUUAAUACAACAUACAUCACGCAUUACACUUCAAAAUUAACAAGAUUAAAAACGACUCAAUAAAACACCUUUUUUUUUUAUAAUAUUGACCAUGAUGAGUGCGCCUGCAAGUUAUUUGAGAAAUUGACUGCUAUGAGCACAUACGAGGCAAAAAGAAUCUUAUAUCAUGCACAUGUAGGCAGCAAGCAUUGAAAAUACAGAAACUAGCAGCAAUGGCUUGAGCGGAAACCCAUAAAAGAGAAUUGUCAUAAAUGCUAAGCAUAAGAAAAAGGCAGCGAAAUUGAGGGUGAUUAGUAAUUGGAAUAAAUACAGAUGUCUAAUCACAAUCCGACAGAAGGGAUUUAGACUUGAAAUCUGUAAGAAAAAUAAACACACAGUGAGAUAACAAUUCAAUACAGUAGCUAAUAUAAAACAGCAACCGAAAAUCACAAAUUCACAAAUGGAAAAACAGAAGAGAAAUGAAACCGAAACAGAAAAUUAAACCCGAGGCCUGCACUGGACAGUUUUCUUAAAACAGAUUUAUCACAUACUGUAUUGCUUUAGGUUUGCUGGUAACUGUUUCCCAUGAUACAACGGGUACGAAUUAUCCGUCAAGCACAAACUGAUAAUUCCGGCGAACCACAACAGCGUACAAGCUCGAUCAGAACAGAACAAUGAAAGGAAGAAAGAAAUUUUGGAGUGCUCUUUGUGCUGGUUUCAAUGUGUGUAAAAACAGAAGAGGAGGUGCCUUUUUAUACUCAUGUGAGGAUGUAACAGCAGCAUUGUAUUGAAUUUCUGAAUUCAAUAUAUGCCAUUAAAUAGUUAUAACAACCAAUUCAAUUCAAUCAAUUGAUUUAAAAAUUGAAUUCCAAAAAACGUGAAUAGUAUAACAGCUAAAAUAAUGGUUGUGAAGCUGUUACAAAUCCUUUGAAUUCAAAACGUGAAACUAUUACAACAAAAAAUUUAAAAGGAAAUUAAAAACAUGCCAUGCAACCUCGGAUGAUUUUGGGCUGACAUUCGCAUACACGUGGGCGCACACGAGUUCAACCAAAUCGGUCUUGGAUUUGCACCCCCUGCGCACGCGCAUGUGGAGAGAGUCUCUAUCCUUAUAAUUCUUAUUCAUGCACGGUUAAGUGUUUAUAAAUAAACACUAAUCCCUUGGCUUCUUUUUCCCAUGUGGGAUAAGCCUCAUUUUCCUUUCAAAUUUCCAACUUCAAGGGUGAACUUUGGGAGACAAUUUCUCAUUCACCCAAACACCAUUUUGAGAAAAUAAAAUUACACUUUUGAAGUAUUAACGGAAUAGAAUCCGAACCUCACAAGAUUUCUCACUUUCACUAAGUGGGACCCACUCAAAAUGUGCCCUCAAAAUAGCAUAUAGAUAUGCUAUUUUUUCAACAAAAUUUGCUGGAAACCUUUUUAUGAUCUACAGCCCAAGAUCUUCAAUGCUACGUGGAAUAUUAUGGUUGAUAACAAUGCCAACAGUAACAGUGGAUGAAAGACAUAGCCUUUAGACUUAUUUUUGGUUUUCAUAUUGAGCCAGGUGUUCAGCAAAUGCGAUGAGAGGUGCCCUCAUUUAAAUCCCUUCCUCAUUUGAUCAUAUUUAGCUCCAAAAGCACGCCAUACAUGUUGAGUUGCCUUAAUUUUCAGUUCUGUCUUCCCAGCUUGCGAUAAGUCUUCUAAUACAUUCAACGUUGUACACUCACCACCAUCCAUUAAGUUAACCUUCGCAGUGGAGUUAUGAGGUGUAUCAUCCAGGAAAGAUUUUGGAGUCUGCAACAUGCAUAAAAAGAGGGCAGAGGCUGGGAAAUAAGAAUUAAUCAAAGUACUUCUAUGGAUAGUGUUAAAAUGAACAUAAGAAAUAGAGGCAAGGAUCAAAAUGAAUAAUAACCUCUUCAAGCAGUAUACUUGAGGGAUUGAGAUCUCUGUAAAUAUUUUGCUUCUCAGAACUUUGCAUGGCAACCAGGGUUUUAGCAACUCCAGUGGUAAUUUCAAGUCUUUUAUCCCAAUAUCCUUCUUUGAUGGAAAAUGAUUCUGCACAACUAGGCAAUUCAAUGAUUACUAUAAAAAUAUCCAUAGAUAUGCAAUCUUUAUUUUCUUUUNNNNNNNNNNNNNNNNNNNNNNNNNNNNNNNNNNNNNNNNNNNNNNNNNNNNNNNNNNNNNNNNNNNNNNNNNNNNNNNNNNNNNNNNNNNNNNNNNNNNNNNNNNNNNNNNNNNNNNNNNNNNNNNNNNNNNNNNNNNNNNNNNNNNNNNNNNNNNNNNNNNNNNNNNNNNNNNNNNNNNNNNNNNNNNNNNNNNNNNNNNNNNNNNNNNNNNNNNNNNNNNNNNNNNNNNNNNNNNNNNNNNNNNNNNNNNNNNNNNNNNNNNNNNNNNNNNNNNNNNNNNNNNNNNNNNNNNNNNNNNNNNNNNNNNNNNNNNNNNNNNNNNNNNNNNNNNNNNNNNNNNNNNNNNNNNNNNNNNNNNNNNNNNNNNNNNNNNNNNNNNNNNNNNNNNNNNNNNNNNNNNNNNNNNNNNNNNNNNNNNNNNNNNNNNNNNNNNNNNNNNNNNNNNNNNNNNNNNNNNNNNNNNNNNNNNNNNNNNNNNNNNNNNNNNNNNNNNNNNNNNNNNNNNNNNNNNNNNNNNNNNNNNNNNNNNNNNNNNNNNNNNNNNNNNNNNNNNNNNNNNNNNNNNNNNNNNNNNNNNNNNNNNNNNNNNNNNNNNNNNNNNNNNNNNNNNNNNNNNNNNNNNNNNNNNNNNNNNNNNNNNNNNNNNNNNNNNNNNNNNNNNNNNNNNNNNNNNNNNNNNNNNNNNNNNNNNNNNNNNNNNNNNNNNNNNNNNNNNNNNNNNNNNNNNNNNNNNNNNNNNNNNNNNNNNNNNNNNNNNNNNNNNNNNNNNNNNNNNNNNNNNNNNNNNNNNNNNNNNNNNNNNNNNNNNNNNNNNNNNNNNNNNNNNNNNNNNNNNNNNNNNNNNNNNNNNNNNNNNNNNNNNNNNNNNNNNNNNNNNNNNNNNNNNNNNNNNNNNNNNNNNNNNNNNNNNNNNNNNNNNNNNNNNNNNNNNNNNNNNNNNNNNNNNNNNNNNNNNNNNNNNNNNNNNNNNNNNNNNNNNNNNNNNNNNNNNNNNNNNNNNNNNNNNNNNNNNNNNNNNNNNNNNNNNNNNNNNNNNNNNNNNNNNNNNNNNNNNNNNNNNNNNNNNNNNNNNNNNNNNNNNNNNNNNNNNNNNNNNNNNNNNNNNNNNNNNNNNNNNNNNNNNNNNNNNNNNNNNNNNNNNNNNNNNNNNNNNNNNNNNNNNNNNNNNNNNNNNNNNNNNNNNNNNNNNNNNNNNNNNNNNNNNNNNNNNNNNNNNNNNNNNNNNNNNNNNNNNNNNNNNNNNNNNNNNNNNNNNNNNNNNNNNNNNNNNNNNNNNNNNNNNNNNNNNNNNNNNNNNNNNNNNNNNNNNNNNNNNNNNNNNNNNNNNNNNNNNNNNNNNNNNNNNNNNNNNNNNNNNNNNNNNNNNNNNNNNNNNNNNNNNNNNNNNNNNNNNNNNNNNNNNNNNNNNNNNNNNNNNNNNNNNNNNNNNNNNNNNNNNNNNNNNNNNNNNNNNNNNNNNNNNNNNNNNNNNNNNNNNNNNNNNNNNNNNNNNNNNNNNNNNNNNNNNNNNNNNNNNNNNNNNNNNNNNNNNNNNNNNNNNNNNNNNNNNNNNNNNNNNNNNNNNNNNNNNNNNNNNNNNNNNNNNNNNNNNNNNNNNNNNNNNNNNNNNNNNNNNNNNNNNNNNNNNNNNNNNNNNNNNNNNNNNNNNNNNNNNNNNNNNNNNNNNNNNNNNNNNNNNNNNNNNNNNNNNNNNNNNNNNNNNNNNNNNNNNNNNNNNNNNNNNNNNNNNNNNNNNNNNNNNNNNNNNNNNNNNNNNNNNNNNNNNNNNNNNNNNNNNNNNNNNNNNNNNNNNNNNNNNNNNNNNNNNNNNNNNNNNNNNNNNNNNNNNNNNNNNNNNNNNNNNNNNNNNNNNNNNNNNNNNNNNNNNNNNNNNNNNNNNNNNNNNNNNNNNNNNNNNNNNNNNNNNNNNNNNNNNNNNNNNNNNNNNNNNNNNNNNNNNNNNNNNNNNNNNNNNNNNNNNNNNNNNNNNNNNNNNNNNNNNNNNNNNNNNNNNNNNNNNNNNNNNNNNNNNNNNNNNNNNNNNNNNNNNNNNNNNNNNNNNNNNNNNNNNNNNNNNNNNNNNNNNNNNNNNNNNNNNNNNNNNNNNNNNNNNNNNNNNNNNNNNNNNNNNNNNNNNNNNNNNNNNNNNNNNNNNNNNNNNNNNNNNNNNNNNNNNNNNNNNNNNNNNNNNNNNNNNNNNNNNNNNNNNNNNNNNNNNNNNNNNNNNNNNNNNNNNNNNNNNNNNNNNNNNNNNNNNNNNNNNNNNNNNNNNNNNNNNNNNNNNNNNNNNNNNNNNNNNNNNNNNNNNNNNNNNNNNNNNNNNNNNNNNNNNNNNNNNNNNNNNNNNNNNNNNNNNNNNNNNNNNNNNNNNNNNNNNNNNNNNNNNNNNNNNNNNNNNNNNNNNNNNNNNNNNNNNNNNNNNNNNNNNNNNNNNNNNNNNNNNNNNNNNNNNNNNNNNNNNNNNNNNNNNNNNNNNNNNNNNNNNNNNNNNNNNNNNNNNNNNNNNNNNNNNNNNNNNNNNNNNNNNNNNNNNNNNNNNNNNNNNNNNNNNNNNNNNNNNNNNNNNNNNNNNNNNNNNNNNNNNNNNNNNNNNNNNNNNNNNNNNNNNNNNNNNNNNNNNNNNNNNNNNNNNNNNNNNNNNNNNNNNNNNNNNNNNNNNNNNNNNNNNNNNNNNNNNNNNNNNNNNNNNNNNNNNNNNNNNNNNNNNNNNNNNNNNNNNNNNNNNNNNNNNNNNNNNNNNNNNNNNNNNNNNNNNNNNNNNNNNNNNNNNNNNNNNNNNNNNNNNNNNNNNNNNNNNNNNNNNNNNNNNNNNNNNNNNNNNNNNNNNNNNNNNNNNNNNNNNNNNNNNNNNNNNNNNNNNNNNNNNNNNNNNNNNNNNNNNNNNNNNNNNNNNNNNAACAAAAUCAUCUAUUUAUACAACACAAUGAAAACUAAAGUGCUGAAAAAUCUGCUACAUUUGAGCAUAAUAACUAAGUGCAGGAAAAUAACAUGAAGAAGUGGUCGCAGUCCUAAAAAAAUAGCAACAAAAAAACUGAUUUAGCUUCAUGAGUCAUUCCAGUCAAUAUUCUCCUCCUUGACACUGGAGCUGCAUACACCAAACGUUUAACUCAAGAAUUCAUAUCUAACCUUUGGAAGUGCUUUUGUUAAGAUGUCAGCACUUUUAUUUUCUAUUUUGCAGUAGAUCAACUGCACUUCUCCUUCUCUUUGUACCUCUCUUAGAAAAUAAAGUUUUAUCUUGAAGUGUUUUGUUUUGCCAUGGAACAUUGGAUUAUUAGCAAUUGAAAUUGCAGCUUGGUUGUCCACAAAUAUUUGUGUGCCUUCUUGUUGUUCCAUAUGCAAAUCUGUCAUAAGUUUCCUGAUCCAAAGAGCUUGAUUCACAUCAGCAGUAGCAGCAGCUACAUCUUCUGCUUCUGCUAUAGAAUGAGCUAUAACUUCUUGCUUCUUAGAAUACCAUGAAAAAAUCCCAGAACCAAAGCUAAAACAGUAACCUGAGGUGCUUCUCAUGUCAUCAACACAUCUAGCCCAAUCACUAUUAGAAUAUCCAUGAAGAUUGAAGUUUUUAACUUGAUUAAACCUUAUUCCAUAAUCAAUUGUGCCCUUAACAUAUCUAAGAAUUCUUUUUGCUGCCUGAAAAUGAAUUUUACUGGCACAGUGCAUAUACCUUGAUAGCAAACUCACUGCAUGCAUGAUAUCUGGCCUGGUUGCAGUUAAAUACAUUAGGCAGCCUAUUAGGCUCCUGUACAGCAUUUCAUCCACCUUUUCAGCUCCAUCUUCUUUGCAAAACUUCUCCUUUUGAUUCAUUAGAGUUGCAGUUGGCUUGCACUCUUCCAUGUUGAAUUUCUUGAGAACUUUGCAUAUUUUUGCUGGGAUAGAAAUAUUUCAUUUUCCUUUUGAUGUACCUGCAUACCAAGGAAAAAUGUCAUCCUCCCAAGGUCUGUCAUUUCAAAGACAUCUUUCAUUUCUUCUUUAAACCUGUCAAUCAACUCCUUGCUACUUCCUGUAACGAGUAGAUCAUCAACAUACAGAGAUACCACAAGUACUUCGUUAUCAGCCUUCUUGAUAUAUAAAAUAGAUUCACUCAGACUUUUUUCGAAGCCUAAGUUUGUUAAGUGUGUGUCAAUUCUGCUAUACCAGGACCUUGAUGCCUAUUUUAAAUCGUACAGGGCUUUCUUCAGUCAAUAGACCUUCUCAUCUUGUCCUGGAAAAACAAACCCUUCAGGUUGCUCCACAAAAAUCUCUUCCUCCAAGUAUCCAUUCAAAAAGGUUGAUUUGACAUCCAUUUGGUGUAUAACCCAACCUUGCUGUGCAACAAGAGCUAGCGACAUCCUUAUGGUAUCCAACCUGGCAACAUGGGCAAAAGUUUCAGAAAAAAUCUACCCCAAACAUCUGGGCAUAUCCCUUGACAACAAGUCUUGCCUUGUGCUUGUUUACAGAACCAUCAGGAUUGAGCUUGGUCAUGUAAACCCACUUGACUCCUAUAGCUUUCUUGUGUUCAGGUCUGUCUACCAAUUCCCAUGUCUGAUUCUUUUCAAUUAUUUUUAGCUCGUCCUUCAUUGCAGUUAUCCACUUCUGAUCAUUUGCAGCUUCUUCAUACCCUGCAGGCUCCAUUACAGCAAUAUUACACAUCUGAUAGAUGUCAGAGAGUGAUCUGGUUCCUCUAACAUUUUCAUCGUCCGUAUCAUCAUUCUCUUCGACCUCAAGCUUCUUGUCAUUUUCCCAACUCCAAUUAUCUAACUCAAAGAAUUGAACAUCCCUGCUGACGAUUACUUUGUUUCUUUGCGGUAAGUAAAUCUUGUAGGCUUUUGAGGUUGAGCUAUAGCCUACAAAAAUCCCAAGUUCUGCUUUUUUGUCUAAUUUGUCUCUCUUCACUUGAGGGAUGUAAGAGAAACAUAGACAACCAAAUAUCUUCAGAUUAAACAGCUUUGGUUUGUAGCCAUACCAUGCUUCAAAUGGAGUCUUUUUCUGUAAAGCUUUUGUUGGCAAUCUGUUCAAUAAAAAAACUGCAGUGUUUACGGCCUCAGCCCAAAAUUUCUUCGGCGGCCCUUUAUCAUGAAGCAAGCAUCUUGCCAUCUCCAUUAUUGUCCGGUUUUUUCUCUCCACAACACCAUUUUACUGAGGAGUGUAAGGUGUUGUCAGCUGAUGUUCAAUGCCUGCAUCUUCACAAAACUUGUUAAAUUUUUCAGAGGUAUAUUCCAUUCCAUUAUCAGACCUGAUCACCUGCAUCUUGCAUCUGCUUUGAGUUUCAACCCAAGCUUUAAACUUCACAAAGAUGUCAGCAACCUUAUAUUUAAGCUUCAUAAAAUAAAACUAGCACAUUCUUGAGUAAUCAUCAAUGAAAACAAUAUAAUACUUACUGUUAUUCAAAGAUGGUGUUUUCAUUGGCCCUCCCACAUCUGUGUGUAUUAAUUGCAACCUCUGUAUAGCCCUCCAGGUCUUAUUUUGUUGAAAUGGAAUCCUGGUUUGCUUUCCAUACUGACAGGCAGCACAUUUAGGAGACUCCUCCUCUAAUUCAGGCAAGCCUUUGACUAGAUUGUUGUUCUUCAUGUAGAGUAGAGUUAUAUGAUAGAAAUGCCCUAACCUCUUGUGCCAAAGCACUGUAAUGUUAUCUUCUCUAUGUACAGAAGCAUGCUCUUCUUUCAUUAAAUCCAAGGCAAAGCUUUUGCCUUUCAUUUGAACUUUGAAUACUUCUUUGUCUUUUGCAUCUUUGAUCACACAGUUCUUGUCUUCAAACAGCACCUUAUAGCCUUUUUCUAACAACUGAGUAACACUCAAAAGAUUUUGAUUAAUUUCAGGAACAUAUAAAACAUCAUAAAUCAAUUUCAGACCUGUAUGGCCUUCAAUCGCUACUGUUCCUUUACUUUUUACUGCAAUGUGUGCCCCAUUUCCAAUUCUGACUUUGGAAAUAGUAGUCUCAUCAAGCUCUUUGAAGAGCUCUCGAUCAUAAGUCAUGUGGUUUGUACAGCCACUAUCUAUAAGCCAACUCUCUGUGGAGCUGUUGGUGGCAAAGCAUGAUACCACAAACAGUUGUUCCUCUUGGAGUUGAUCCUUAAUAACAUUGGCUUCUCUUUGUUGUUGUUGAGUCUUGCAUAUCCUUUCCACGUGCCCUAACUGACCACACUUGUGACACUUUGCAUCUGGCCUCCACCAACACUUAUUUUGUGGAUGAUUGGUUUUUUUGCAGUAAGGGCAAGGUGAAAAGACAUGAGUGUUGCUGCUUUGGCUAUUUUUGUUACUGCUUGCAAAACCUCCAAGCUUGUUGUCUUUGUUCUGUUUUUUCUUAUUUUUGCCACCUUUAUUGUUUUGUGAUUUGGCUUGAAAAGCACCCUCCACAUAUCCUUCUUGUCUCAUAAGCCUCAUUUGUUCCAGUGCCUGCAGUGCAUUCAACAAUUCUGCCAAGGUAAUACUUGACAGAUCUCUUGAGUUUUCCAAAAAUGAAAUUGUAGCCUCAAACUUUUAGGAACUGUGACUAGGAUUUUUUGGACAACUCUAGAAUCAGAAAAAUCAAUGCCAAGGAGUCUUACCUUGUUGACAAUCUUAAAAAGUCUGUCAUAAUAUUCUUGAAUUGUUUCUGAUUCUUUCAUCUUUUGCAUCUCAAAUUCUCGAAUCAAAUUCAGCACUUGCAUCCCUUUGACCCUUUCAUUUCCUUUGUAUUCUUGCUUCAAAAAAUCCCAAAUUUCCUUGGUUGUUUUGAGCGUCAUUAUUCUGAUUUGUAGGCUAUAAAGAUAUCGAGAGAAGGCUGAUUUGCAGACUGCUAAAUUAUAUAUUUAUUGAGCAACAAAAUCAUCAUUUAUACAACAUAAUGAAAAUUAAAGUGCAGAAAAAUCUGCUACAUUUGAGCAUCAUAACUAAGUGUAGAAAAAUAGCAUGAAGAAGUGGUUAUAGUCUUAAAAAAUAGCAACAGAAAAAAAAAACUGAUUUAACUUCAUGAGUCAUUCCAGUCAACACCUUAGCAGUCCUCGUGCACACGAGCAACUGACUAUUACGAAUCUCCUCGAUCAUUGCUUUGAUCAUGAGGAGGCUACAAUCUCGCGGUAGCGUUUUAAUCACCCAAACAAAAACCCUAAAAGUUUUGAAUCAAAUUAACCUUAAUACAACAUACAUCACGCAUUACACUUCAAAAUUAACAAGAUUAAAAACGACUCAAUAAAACACCUUUUUUUUUUAUAAUAUUGACCAUGAUGAGUGCGCCUGCAAGUUAUUUGAGAAAUUGACUGCUAUGAGCACAUACGAGGCAAAAAGAAUCUUAUAUCAUGCACAUGUAGGCAGCAAGCAUUGAAAAUACAGAAACUAGCAGCAAUGGCUUGAGCGGAAACCCAUAAAAGAGAAUUGUCAUAAAUGCUAAGCAUAAGAAAAAGGCAGCGAAAUUGAGGGUGAUUAGUAAUUGGAAUAAAUACAGAUGUCUAAUCACAAUCCGACAGAAGGGAUUUAGACUUGAAAUCUGUAAGAAAAAUAAACACACAGUGAGAUAACAAUUCAAUACAGUAGCUAAUAUAAAACAGCAACCGAAAAUCACAAAUUCACAAAUGGAAAAACAGAAGAGAAAUGAAACCGAAACAGAAAAUUAAACCCGAGGCCUGCACUGGACAGUUUUCUUAAAACAGAUUUAUCACAUACUGUAUUGCUUUAGGUUUGCUGGUAACUGUUUCCCAUGAUACAACGGGUACGAAUUAUCCGUCAAGCACAAACUGAUAAUUCCGGCGAACCACAACAGCGUACAAGCUCGAUCAGAACAGAACAAUGAAAGGAAGAAAGAAAUUUUGGAGUGCUCUUUGUGCUGGUUUCAAUGUGUGUAAAAACAGAAGAGGAGGUGCCUUUUUAUACUCAUGUGAGGAUGUAACAGCAGCAUUGUAUUGAAUUUCUGAAUUCAAUAUAUGCCAUUAAAUAGUUAUAACAACCAAUUCAAUUCAAUCAAUUGAUUUAAAAAUUGAAUUCCAAAAAACGUGAAUAGUAUAACAGCUAAAAUAAUGGUUGUGAAGCUGUUACAAAUCCUUUGAAUUCAAAACGUGAAACUAUUACAACAAAAAAUUUAAAAGGAAAUUAAAAACAUGCCAUGCAACCUCGGAUGAUUUUGGGCUGACAUUCGCAUACACGUGGGCGCACACGAGUUCAACCAAAUCGGUCUUGGAUUUGCACCCCCUGCGCACGCGCAUGUGGAGAGAGUCUCUAUCCUUAUAAUUCUUAUUCAUGCACGGUUAAGUGUUUAUAAAUAAACACUAAUCCCUUGGCUUCUUUUUCCCAUGUGGGAUAAGCCUCAUUUUCCUUUCAAAUUUCCAACUUCAAGGGUGAACUUUGGGAGACAAUUUCUCAUUCACCCAAACACCAUUUUGAGAAAAUAAAAUUACACUUUUGAAGUAUUAACGGAAUAGAAUCCGAACCUCACAAGAUUUCUCACUUUCACUAAGUGGGACCCACUCAAAAUGUGCCCUCAAAAUAGCAUAUAGAUAUGCUAUUUUUUCAACAAAAUUUGCUGGAAACCUUUUUAUGAUCUACAGCCCAAGAUCUUCAAUGCUACGUGGAAUAUUAUGGUUGAUAACAAUGCCAACAGUAACAGUGGAUGAAAGACAUAGCCUUUAGACUUAUUUUUGGUUUUCAUAUUGAGCCAGGUGUUCAGCAAAUGCGAUGAGAGGUGCCCUCAUUUAAAUCCCUUCCUCAUUUGAUCAUAUUUAGCUCCAAAAGCACGCCAUACAUGUUGAGUUGCCUUAAUUUUCAGUUCUGUCUUCCCAGCUUGCGAUAAGUCUUCUAAUACAUUCAACGUUGUACACUCACCACCAUCCAUUAAGUUAACCUUCGCAGUGGAGUUAUGAGGUGUAUCAUCCAGGAAAGAUUUUGGAGUCUGCAACAUGCAUAAAAAGAGGGCAGAGGCUGGGAAAUAAGAAUUAAUCAAAGUACUUCUAUGGAUAGUGUUAAAAUGAACAUAAGAAAUAGAGGCAAGGAUCAAAAUGAAUAAUAACCUCUUCAAGCAGUAUACUUGAGGGAUUGAGAUCUCUGUAAAUAUUUUGCUUCUCAGAACUUUGCAUGGCAACCAGGGUUUUAGCAACUCCAGUGGUAAUUUCAAGUCUUUUAUCCCAAUAUCCUUCUUUGAUGGAAAAUGAUUCUGCACAACUAGGCAAUUCAAUGAUUACUAUAAAAAUAUCCAUAGAUAUGCAAUCUUUAUUUUCUUUUGUUCCUAGACUUCCUUCAAUUCUUCUGAAAACAUGAUUUUCCAACCUCUCCUUCUUCCUGGGCCAUUUAUCCUUCCAGUAGUAUCCCAGGGGAUUAACUCGGUAUGGAUAUGAUAGUUUCUCUUCAAAGCCCACCUGCCCGCAUAAGCACUGAAAAAUAGGCAACACAUAAUUGAUAACGGUAAAAGGGAUCAUAAAAUUUGCCCAGCAUGGCAAAGCAUCUUUUAUUCAAUCUUUCCCCAAAACUUAUAAUUUACCUCUUGUGAACCCAAAAAUGAAAAAAAAUAAAUAAAUACCAGAAUCAAUAUUGAUAAUAUUGCUCCCACUCCUAUUGUUCUUGAUAUAAAUUUGCUAUAAAUUAAAUGUCCCCACUAUCCUGUGGUAAAAGUUGUUGGAAAAAAUUAAACUGGUGUGAUUUGCUUCUAUUUGAGUGAAAUAUCAAGUGAGGUCAACAAAAGUAUUCAUAUAUUAAUAUGCCAAUAUGCUCUAUAAAUUUCAAUUAUACACUAUGUCAAACAAUCAUGCAUCAAUGAACUGAAACACUAAUAAUUGUAGGGAUAAUGCUUGAUACAUGCAUCUAUGCCAUUAUUGAACACCAAUGACCAACUAUAGAGCAAUGCCCUCCAUCUCUAUGUUGUUUCUCUUAGCCAGUUCCAGUAGCAACAGUUAGUGAUUGCCUUUCAGUUUGGCUAGUUGGGAAUUGAAUUUGAAUCACUAACCUGAUACGUGCAUCUCCAUCAUUAUUGAAAUUAGUGACCAAUUAAAAAUUAAAAACUGACAUAACAACCAAGACCCAACCCAUGUUUAAAAAAGGUUAAUUAAUAUAGAUAGAAAUUAAAUAAAAUCGAAUAAAGUAAGAUUACUGUGUCCAAGAAACCAUACCUUUAGAUCAUCGUUAAUAACACUCUUCAGUUGUCUGUGGUUGAGAAGGCUUUCUUCAAAAUGAUGAAGCAAGAAUUUUGAAGCUUCAAUGAGAAUAUUCGAAUUUGCAAUUUUAUGCCAAAGAAUCGACUCCAAGUUGCCCUUUACCGGUGCUCGCAAGCCUGACCCCAGAGGGUACUCGUUCUCUUCUAGCAUACCAAUCUCGCAAUCUUUAUCAAAUUCUGUCAUUUUUUUUUUCUUUCUUGCGAUGCCUUGUGUUGGUGAAGGCACUACUCAAUAACACAAAUCAGAGAGAAAAGCAACAUCCAUAAAUCUUCUUAGUCGAUUGCAGAGGGUAAUUGUUGAAGAGUGAGCUUUAAAAUUGGAUUCCAGAAAAAGUGUCGUCUUGUCGGUUUGUUGAAUAAGUGCCGAUUGCUUUGUUAGUUCUUGGCUGACCAGCAUGUCGUUGGAAUAAAGGAUAUUGCAGAUGACAAAUCAGCUGAGCUUCUUAAGUAAAGCGUGUGUGUAUCACGUGCACAUACUUAAACAACUUAGCAUGAAACGACGGAUGAGAUGAGCAUUUUGAUAUCACUUAUUAUCACUUAUUCAUGGCACAAGAUUUUCAUGUGUCUAAGGCUGUUAUAGGCUAUUAAUUAGAGUAGGAAAUUUCUGGGUUCAGUUGUAAUAGAUUCAGGUCACAGCUGGUGUGAGAGAAUCUGUCCAGAGUCCUCUAAAGUGUCAUAUAAAUAGCUUGUAUCUUCUUCAUAAGACUUGUAUCUUGAAAUCAGUGAUUGAAUGAAAAUCUGCUGCUCUGUUCUUCAGUGGAUGUAGGCUGCUCCAGCUGAACCAUUUAAACCUUUAGUCCUUUGAUUGAUUGUUUCUGUGUUUGUAUUCUCGUGUGUGUUGUUUUGCUAGUUUCUUUAAUUGAGUUUUAGAGAAUUUAGAUUGAUCUUGGAGUUUCUUGAUCGGUGUCAAAGCUGAUCUUAGAUCAACAAAUUGGUAUCAGAGCUUCAUCUCUGAUUCUUAAUUCAAGAAAUGACAAUAUCCAAGUUUGAGGUGGAGAAAUUCACUGGCGAAAAUGAUUUCCAUCUUUGGAGGUUCAAGAUGAAAGCACUGUUGGUUCAUCAAGGCUUAGAGGAGACAUUGGGGGAGCCAAGAACUGGCAAGAAACCAAGUAAGCUCACUGAUGAAGAAUUACAUAAUGCUCUAGAUAAGGCUUAUAGCACCUUAAUCUUGAGCCUUGGAGGUGGAGUGCUUAGGGAGGUGGGAGAUCAAACAAGUGUUGCAGGCCUCUAGAAGAAGUUAGAAGACUUAUACACCAAAAAGUCCCUAGCUAAAAGACUUUUUACAAAGAAGAGAUUGUAUACUCUAUAGAUGGAGGAAUGCAGCUCGUUAGCAAAUCACAUUGAUAAUUUUAAUAGGAUUAUUCUUAAUCUUGAAGACAUCAAUGUGAAGUUGGAAGAUGAGGACAAAGCAAUCAUCUUGUUAUCCUUUCUACUACCAUCCUACGAGCAUUUUGUUGACACAUUGUUAUAUGGGAGACAAUCUAUAAUUAUUGUAGAUAUAAAAGACUCACUUAGUUCUAAAGAAGUCACAAAGAAGGCAGAAACAAAUGAUGGAGAAAGUUUGAUGGCAAGGGAAAGGCCUGAGAAGAAAGAGAACAACAAAAAGAAGAAAAUGGGAAAAUCUAAGUCCAAGGAUAAGGUCUUGAAAUGCUUCCACUAUCAUAAAGAAGGGCAUUUCAAGAGGGACUGUCUAGAUAAAAAGAACAAGAGCAAAUAAGGGCAUGGAAAGAAUGGAUAUACUACUGUUGCAUCCGAGGAUGAUGGUUAUGACUCAGCUGGUGUCCUUUUGGCUUCUGAAACUCAAACAAAUAGUAAGUAUAUUUUUUAUUUUGGAUGUUCAUAUCAGAUGUGCCUUGACCAAAAUCUUUUUACUACUUAUAAUCAUUUUAAUAGAUAAGAGGUAAUGAUGGAGAAUAACUCAAUAUGUAAGGUAGUUGGAUUAGGAACCAUUAGAUUUAAGAUGUUUGAUAGGAUGAUUAGAAAGCUAAGAGAGUAAGGCAUGUUCCUGCUUUUAAGAAGAAUCUAAUCUCUCUAGGCACUUUAGAUCAAGUUGGCUGCUCCAUUAAGGUAGAAUUUGGUGUAAUGAAGGUAAUCAGAGGGUCCAUUGUGAUAAUGAAGAAGAAUAAGCACAAUGGUUUAUAUGUGCUUCAAGGCAUUGUUGUAACUGGAAAUGUCAGUGUUUCAUCAAGUCUGGGUUUGGAUAAGACUCUUAUGUGGCAUUUAAGAUUGGGACAUAUAAGUGAGAAGGGGUUGAGAGUUUUAGAAAAAUAGGGAGUCUUUGGGGAUGAUAAGUUAGGGUCUUUUGAGUUCUGUGAGGUUUGUGUCCUAGGUAAAUCCUCUAGAACUAGUUUUAAAACUACAGUGCAUAACACAAAAUGGAUCUUAGAUUACAUCCAUUCUAAUCUGUGGGGACCAGCACAUACAGUUUCUCUAGGUGGAGCCAAAUAUUUCCUUUCCUUUAUAGAUGACUAUUCCAGAAUGGUUUGAGUGUAUGUCUUAAAGAGAAAUGAUGAGGUCUUUGAGAAGUUUAAGCAAUGGAAAGCAUUGGUUGAGUUAAGAGGCUAAGAAUUGACAAUGGGUUAGAGUUUUGUAACCAGCAGUUUGAGGUUUUCUGUAACCAGAAUAGUAUAGCAAGACAUAAAAUUGUUGCUAACACUCCACAACAAAAUGGGUUAGCAGAAAGAAUGAAUAGAACCUUGAUGGAGAAAAUUAGGUGUUUGCUGAUACACUCAAAGUUGCCUAAGGCGUUAUGGGCUGAAACUUUAAUGACAGCUUGUUACCUAGUAAAUAGGAGUCCAUCCAGUGCCUUAAGCUUAAAAACACCAAUAGAAAUGUGGUCAGUGAGGCGGCAAAUUAUCUAAGUUUGAAGAUUUUUUGCUGCCCUGCUUAUGCACAUAUAAAGCAAGGAAAACUGGAGCCCAGAGCAUUGAAAUGUAUUUUCUUGGGUUAUCCAAAAGGUGUGAAAGGCUAUAAGCUCUGGUGUACUGAUUUAAAACCACCAAGGUGUAUCAUUAGUAGAGAUGUUUUUAAUGAAUAAAAAAUAUUGAGUAAAAGACAUGUAACAGAACCUGGAGAUACAGAUGAGGGUUCAAACUCACAAUGGCAACAUCUGAAGGUGGAUUUUCUAGGGAAGUUUACUCAGGACUACCAUGGUACAUUAACAGAUGUAGAUAUGGGUGAGACUGAGGAUGUCAAUGAUAUUUCUGGUGGUCAAACUGAAAUCCAGGACUACCAACUUGUCAGAGAUGGGUAAAGAAGAGAUAUUAAAGCACCAAAGAGAUUUGCAUAUACAUAUUUAAUCGCAUAUGCUCUAACAGUAGCUCAUGAGCUGGAGAAAUAUGAACCAAGAACUUACAAGGAAGCUGUUUCAGGAAAAGAUGCAGACAUGUGGAUAAGAGUCAUAAAUGAAGAAAUAGAAUCAUUAUACAAUAAUAACACUUAGAAACUUAUUAAAAAACUAGAAAAAAAUGAAGAUGAUAGGAUGUAAAUAGGUCUACAAAGUCAAAUCAGGCAUACCAAGAGUUGAACCCGAAAGGUUUAAGGCCAGGCUGGUUGCCAAGGGCUACACACAGAAGGAGGGUAUUGAUUUUACUGAAGUUUUUUCCCCUAUGGUUAGACAUGCCUCAAUUAGAUUAAUUCUAUCACUUGUAGCUGCUAACAACAUACAUCUUGAAUAGAUGGAUGUUAAAACAACAUUUUUCAUGGAGAGUUACUAAAAGAAAUAAUAAUGACUCAACCUGGAGGUUUUGUUGAUUAGGAGAAAGUUGAGUAUGUAUGCCUUCUGAAGAAAUCCUUAUAUGGUCUCAAAACAGUCACCUAGGCAAUGGUAUCUUAAGUUUAAUAACUUUAUGAUGAAGCUUUGUUUUCAAAGGUGCAAUUUGGAUUGCUGUGUGUAUUAUAGAAAGAUAUCUGUAGAGAAGGUUUACUUGGUUUUAUAUGUAGAUGAUAUGCUUAUUGCCAGCAAGAGCAUGAAACAAAUAGAUCUUUUGAAGCAGCAACUUAGAGGGGAAUUUGAGAUAAAGGAUUUAGGGCCAGCCAAGAAAAUACUAGGAAUGCAGCUUAUCAGGGAUAGAAAGUAUGGUAGCUUGUUUCUUACACAGGAGGAUUACAUCAACAAAGUGCUUGAUAAGUUUGAAAUGAGAACUGCAAGACCAGUUCAAACUCCUUUACUAGCUCACUUCAGACUAUCAGAACAGCAGUGUCCUAUAACUGAAGCUGAUAAGUCUGAGAUGAUGAGAAUUCCUUAUGCAAGUGUUGUAGGAUGUUUAAUGUAUGCUCUGAUCCUUACCAAACCUGAUAUAGCAUAUGUUGUAAGUGUAAUAAGCAGAUAUAUGGCAAACCCUCGGAAUGAGCAUUGGAAGGCUGUAAAUGGAUACUUAGGUAUCUAAGGGAAACAUCUGGAUAUGGACUAAUGUAUGGAGGACAGAGGACAGAGGUAGAGAUGGCAAAACCUCGGGCCGGAUCCGGGUAUUGCAAUGACCAAACCCUACCUGGAUGCAACCGGUCUGGGUCCGAGUCCGAGCCGGGUUUUAAUCCGGGUACCCGAAUUUAUAUUUUUUAAUAUUAUAUGUGUAUAUACUUUUUAUUUUUUGGUAAUCUUAUAAGUUUUAAAUUUAUUUUAAUAAAAUUUGACAUGAAAAUAUAAACUUUAAGUGUUUAAAACUUUAUAUAUGUAUAAUAAAUGAGUCAAAUAAAUAUAAAUAUUUAAAAUAAUAUAUAUUUUAUAAUAUUUUUUUAAUAAAAUCCGGGUUCCGAGUUUAUCAAGUGAUGCCCAAGACUGACCCGGCUUCAUACCCGGGCCGGGUAAUACCCGGCCCACAAUGUCCGGGUCCGGACCGAGCGGGUAUUUUUGCCACCUCUAGGCAGAGGGCAGAUGACAGUUUGAUCGUAGGUUAUGUGGAUGCAGACUAUGCAAGGGACUUGGAUAAGAGAAGAUCCAUUACAGGGUACAUAUUCACAUUUGACAACUGCACUAUAAACUGGAAAGCACAAUUACAAAGUGUAGUUGGUCUGUCAACUACUGAAGACGAGUAUACAACUGCUGCUGAGGCAAUCAAAGAAGUAAUAUGGUUAAAAGGCAUGUUGAAGGAGCUUGGGGUAGAUAAGAACUUAGUGGUGAUUCAUUGUGACAGCCAAAGUGUUAUAUGUUUAAGCAAGAAUCAAACACACCAUGAAAAGACUAAACACAUUGACAUUAAACUUCAUUUUAUCAGGUUGGAAGUAUCAAAAGCAACUGUAAAGCUUCAGAAAAUUCAUACAGAUAAUAAUGUUGCAAAUAUGUUAACUAAGGCUAUACCAGGAGCUAAGUUCAUGUUUUGUUUGAACUUAGUUGAUAUCUGUAGCAGAUGAAUUCCAAAUGGAUGAAGAGAAGAGUAGCAAGUUCAGGAGGUUUUCAAGCUCAAGGUGGAGAAUGUUGAAGUGUGAGCUUUAAAAUAGGAUACUAGAAAAAGUGUCGUCUUGUCAGUUUGUAGGUCCAUGGCCUCGGCCCCACUUGAUAAUGGUGAAUUAUGCUACACGUCCUUGUAACAGAGCAACACAAAGUUCAAACUUUAGUUAAUCGCCUAACUUUUUGGCAUGGAGAUUGCCGCCGGGGUUUCUCUCUGUCACAAUAACGUGCACUACUUAUUUUCUUACUGUUUUUAUAAUCUUUAGUAACUUUCUUGAUAAAAUUAUAUUAAAAUCAAAUAAACUCAUUCAAUCUCAAACUUUAAAAAAGAAAAUAGUCAAAUACAAAUAUAUAACACAUUAACAAUGCUGCUGUACGGCCAAGGCGGAUGUACGGUACAGCAGACAUCAUAUAAAAAGAAAGAAAAGUAAAAAAAAUUUAAGUAGUACAUAUAAGAAAUAUAUAUUUCGAUGUAAAUAAAAAUUAAUAAAAAAAUAUUUUUCUUUCAUUAUUUUUAAAACAUGUUUCUUAUAAUAAAUAUAUACUUUAUAUUCUUAAGAUAAAUUAUCUUCUUUCUUUUCCUUUAAAUUUUUAUGCCAGAGAUUUUUGAAUAUUGUGAAAAUAAUAGGUACAGCAGAUAUAUAUAUAUAUAUAUAUAUAUAUAUUCUAAGCUUAAUAGAAACAAAGCCGAAACAAAGUAAAAUAUAAUAAUGAACUCCUAAUUACAUGGAAAGACUCGAACCCUCUACCUUAAGGUUAAAAGAUGAAAAAUAAAAAUAAUAAUGAAAAUGACAGUUUAUAAAUAAUAGUUGAUAGUGUGUGAUAAAUACAAAUUUUAAACAAUUUUUUGACAAAAAUAAUAAAUAUGUUAUAAGUUAAUCAUCAUACAAUAUAUAAGAAAUUAACAAUUAACUACAACCCUCUAACCACAACAUGAACUAUUUUUCAUAUUGCAGUAAGGUUGUGGACCAUUACGGUCUAUUACAUGAACAAGUUAUGUCAUGCACCGCUUGGAAAAAAAAAAAAAAAGCCAAACGUGGCUGAUUUCAAAAGCAACAGCCAGUUGCCUGCUUCACCACUCCUCCACAUGCCAACUUCAUUCUUCGCUUGCCACAUGCAUAUUUGACCUGCAUGCUUCACUUGUGAGUCGAUGGCCAUGUAUAUAUAAUUGGAAACAAUUGAAAGCAACUCUCAUUUAUGCUUCCAUUUCCGAAGUGAAAUCAAAACCGAGAGAAGAAAAGAAGAAAAACCGAGAGAAAAGAGAAGGAAAAAGAAAAGAAAAGAAGAAAAGAAAUAGAAAGAAGCUGGGUGUGAGAAAUAAAGUGGAAUUAAGAGGAAAUAAUACGGAAAUUAGAACGGGAUGGUUAGAUUAAAUCCAGUUGAACCAGUGGGUAAUAGAUUUGUGAAACUUGAGCAAUUAUGUUACAGUUUGCAUGAUACGAUAAGUUAUUAUAUCAAUUCUUACAUUUAAUUUUCGAACCCUGUAUUUUAGGAGGAACUCGAGAAUCCAGGAACUUACAAUAGCCCCAACGAACCCCAGAGUGAAACAGGAUCUGUGAGUGGAUACUAUUAUUACUAUUAUGUAUUCCAUAAAGCAUUUAUGUUUGAUAUUAUGAUUUAAUAUCUUGUUAUGAUUAUAUGUACGCAUAUUAUAUGUUUGAUUGAGUCAUGAGAUGUGAUUGCCAAUCACCAUAUAUGUACCCGUCCCCGUAGAAUCUGCGCAUGCUUAUUGAGAGUUAGGUUACUCUAUCCGAGCGAUGUAGCUAAAUUCCACAGGAUAUUGAGAGGUUUUUCCCCCGCUCUACUCGUGCGAUGAUGAUCCUGACGAGCAUUGAGAGUUAUUUCCCCUAGGUACUAUUUGGUGCAGUUUGUGAUGUAUGUAUGUAUGAAUUCCAUGUUUGCUGAUGUGUGGUAUUCAAUGUGGAGUUAUGUUACAUGAUUAUGUAUAAGCGCUAGUACACAUACUUUAUUAUAAUGAUUACUGUUAAUAUUUUUAAUAUAAUAUUAUAUCCACUUACUGAGCCGCAAGCUCACUAUUUUCCUAUUUACCCACUUCCUCCCAGGAUUCCGUAGGAUUUCAUGCAGAUCAGUUCUAGUUAAUUGAGGUUGGGCCACGAGACGCAUUGCUGCAUGUCUAGCAUUUUGAGCACAUUUAUGUUGCUUAUGUUUUAUAUGUAAAUAUACAUGUAAUGUCAGUAUGUACAAUAAGACAUAAGUUAUGCAAGUUUUGAAUUCAUUUAUGAUUUCAAAAAGGCACAGAGGUGGUUAUGUGUUUAUAAGAAAGGUCAUAUUAUAUACAUAUUUUCAUGAAUUAAAUUUGUGCCACAAGUUUUUAGUUAUUAGUCCGCACGAUUCGCCUCAAAUCAGACAUGUAGGUCGGGGCGAGUCGUGUCAAGUUACAUAUGAGUAAAAUGAUAAAAAUGUCCUCACUUUAAUAUGUAACAUAUUCCUUUUACAAUAUUGCCAAUUUAAUAAGGACAGUGGCAGGGGCAAUCAACCUAUGCCCUCAAUUCUAAGAGCCAAAAAGUUCGAGGCUUCCAUUUUUUUUUUUCCAUCAAUUGUUUGGAAACAUGAUCCGCUUUUUUAUUUUCUUUUAUUGAUUUUUCUUGAUUUAUUGUUAUUUAUAUAUUUGUUAUAUUUUAUUUGAUUAGUAGUCUGUCUCCUUAAAUUAAUAGUGAUAAGGUUCUUAUAUGAUUUUUAUUUUCUUACGUUAAAAAAUGAUAAUUCUAUCAUAAAGUUCCUCUCACACAAAUAAGCCCUUAAAGUGAUAUAAUAUUAAAUAAUCUCUUGUCGCAACAUGGUAGUGUUAAUACAUGCUUCUUUUCGUAUUAUCUAAGUUAAGAAUAAGGCCUUAUAGUAUAUUUUCUUCAUACCGUUAUAGGAUAUGUGACAAUAAAGUAAAUAUGACACGUCACAGUGGUUUGUACAAUAUUUGUAUAUUUAGCAUUAUUCAAUAAAAGAAGAGAAAAAAAAAAGUUUUGAUCUAAGAAUGAUGAUGUUUUUAUUGAUGUCUCAUGUAUGUAUUACAAUAUGAAGGCUACCAAUAUUAUUUUCAAUUAGAAACUUGCUGGAAUUAUUUAAGAUCAAGUUCAUUAUAGCACAGUCCAAAUUUGUACAUACAUUCACGUAUAAUUGAGGGUAACGACUACAACUCCGUUAAUGGCCGAAUAAUUUAUGGUACUUGAUUCAACUAGUAAAUUUUCAUCAAUAAUAUAACAAUCGAUACCCAGAAGAUUUUUUUGUAGUAAUUUUACUUUUAAAAUAAAAAAAAUAAUGUAGCAGUAUUUUUGGGCGCUUCGCCUUAUUUUGGAGCUAAUAGAUACUUUUUUAAAAAGGAGUAAGUUAAAGUGUCUAAAGCACUAGACCCGUCCACUGCCCCUUUAGUUGUUCGUAAGUUGUGCACUGAAAGUAGAAUUUGUUGUCGAAGAGAGAAUUUCGUCGAACGAUCUAAAUCUAGCCAGUGAAUGUCGGAAAUUUCUAUGAAGUUACCAGUCUGCUUGAAUUUGAAAGCUCCCGCUCCCUAACGCAGAACAAAAACUCCGAGGAAUUUCCACGAAGAGCCCUAAACAGCUGUUUAUGACUGUAUGGAAAUUCUUUAUCACCACCCUCAUUAAAUUUAUUAGAAAAUGUGGUUAAAUAGUACAUUAAAUAGGUGAAAAAUAAAGACGGCUUCCCUAUCCUCAUUGGCCCCAUGACCAUCCUUAUACACAUAUCACAUGAGCAGGUUACAUAGUAUGAACAUAGAAAAAGAAAAUUUCUGCGAGGUUUCUUUCUUUACUUUUUCUUUUUUCAAAGAAAGCUUCUAUGAAGUCUUCCAAUAAUGGUGGUGGCCCCAUUACCUUCUUUAUUAAGACAUGUCACGUGAGCAGACAUGGGCAAAUCCAGAACUUUAUAUUUCUCUAGUUAAAUUAAAAAUUAUAUAUUUUGAAGUGAGAAUAAAAAUUUAUUAGUAAAAAGAAGUACAUCAAUUAAGGGGGUGUACAAAGAACAUUACCUCUAUAAAUACUUACUUUAAACAAAAAUAAUUAUAUAAAAAAAGGUAAAAAAAAAAAAGACAACUCAAAAAUAAAAGCACUAGUUUUCAAUUAUAAAAUCUGACAUUGCAAUCUAUAAUAACAUAUAAUUAUAUAAGGAUUAAUAAAUUAAUUAAGAAUUUCAAGCUAAAAUAAAUCAAUACAUGUAAUUACAAUCAAUUAAAAAUUAUAAGUAAAACAUUUAUGUUUGAAGUCAAGUACUUAAUUACCAAGUUUAAAUAAAUUAAACAAUUAAAAUGUAUUUAUCUUUUUAAAUUAUAAAAAUAUUACUAGUCAAAAGUUUCAAUAAUAAACUAAACUCAACCUAGCAAAAAAGUAUUUGGGCGUCGUCGUUUCUUCAUUAGGGACUCUGACUCUCUUUGAAGAACCAGAUGCUGAUGAUUCUUCUAUCAAAACAUCCUCAAAAUAUUCACAUUUUAUUUUCUAACAUGUCCUCCUAAUUAAUGUAACUAAUAACUAAAAUUUCAAAGUUUACGUAAAAAGUGUAUGAGAACAUAUAUUGUUUUGUAAGUAAUGGCAUAUUUUCUUUCAAUUAAAUUUUUUUAAAAUAAAUUAAAGCAAUAUUAAUAUUUUAGCCCCCUAAUGUUUUAAAUUUACUCAAUAAAUAUAUAAUUAAUUAUUUUAUAAAAUAAGUCACUAAUUCCAAAUUGGAACAAAAUACAAUUGAAUUAGAGACAUAUUUUAAAAUAAAAUAAAAACUCUAUUAUUGUAUAAAACUGAUGAAAAAAUAAGGAGUAUGUAUGAUUUUUUUGGACUAGAGGUUGGUCUAGUCCAGCUGUAUGUCUGCCACUGUGAGCAGGAUGUAUAGUAUGAACAUAAAAAAUUUUCUCCAAAGACACGAAUUUUGAUAUUAAAAAAAUUAGAAAAAGAUAAAUUUCUACAAAGUUUACUUCUUUUUCUUUUCUUUUUUUGUUUUUUUCAAAGAUGUCAUGAAGACUUCUUGUGACGAUGGUACCUGCCUACCUGUGCAAAGGGCCCCAAGGGCUAACGUGCUCGCGGAAUUGGACAUAAAGGGAAGUUACCACACAAAAUAUAGCUACCAGUCUGUUUAUUACACUAUAUUAUUGAUCGAAGAAAAGUAAUUUAAAAAAAAAUUCAGAUAUGUUUGCGAACUGAUUUUGAAGGUUAUUUAUAAGACUUUCUAUUUCCAAUAUUAAAGAAAAAAAAAGAAUUAUCUCAUUUUCUCACACGGGGAUUUGUAAGUUUUUAUUUAUUUAUUUAUUUUUAAGUAAUAAUAUGCUUAUUCACUUUAAAUACUCAAUUGAGAUAUUUAAUUAUGAGAAAUCUUAUGUGUCAUCUAUUGAAUGAAUUGUAAAAAACUUAAUAUAACAUUAAUUAAUCAUACACAUGAUAUUAAAUGAUUGGUGACAUAUCGAUAAAUAUUCCAGCUAAGUAAAUAAUUCUUAACUUUAAAAUAUGCAAAUCAACUUUCUUAUGACCUCUGUCAAGAAGAAUUAGGAUCCUCACCUAGUAUUUGUCUCUCCCAGACUCCAACCCUUUGUUUAUAUUUGAUUUUAUGAAUUUUUAAUUAUUUUACUUAAAAAAAAAAUCACAAAAUUUACAAAAGAACAAAAUUUUUUAUUAAUUUUCAAAAUUUUCUUCAAACAUUUUCCAAAAUUACAACGUGAUAAAUUUUCCUAAUUGUCCACAAGCUCGAAAGUUGAAAUUAUAAAAGCAUUUUUUUAUUUGGAAAUAGGUGGACCCCUCAUCGUCAUCACUCAAUUGUGAAUACUGUGUUGUAAACUUUUUGAUAAACGGGCAGUUUCAGCUGAUAAAAUAAGUUGCUUUAUUGAUUUAGAAAGUAGUUUGGUAUUUAGUAAAUUAUGUUGUUGUGAGUUUAAAAAAUAAAGUAUGUGCAUUUGAUAAAUUUUAUUAUAUAUUUUUUAUUAUAUGAUGAUCAAAAUAGACAUAAGUUUAAAAGGUUUUUAUUUGUAUAUUAGGAUUUAUGAAAAAAUAAUAUAAGUUAUUUUUUUGUUAAAAUAUUAAGUUUGUAAUAAGAACUUUAAAAGAUAUGGUGACUUAUUUAAUAAACUACUUAUAAAAAAUAAUUCCUUACUUUUAGAAAUUGUAAUCAAAGUGGAAAAACUUGUAAAAUAUAUAUAUAGCUUGUUAAAAAUUUAUCAGGUAUCCUUUUUAUUAAAAAUUAUGUGUUAAACCGCUCGCUUAUAGCGUUUUAACCUCGAUUCCAAAUAAGGCAUAAAAUUCAUAGGCAAAAAUAUGAAUUUACGAUGACUUACAAGACGUCUUGUGCAAGUUAAACGCGCAAAGACGUCCUGUGCAAUGUAGAAGCAUUCCCAUAUGCUUACCCCUUCAUCCCAUCAAAAUUACUGAAGGGAAGCUUUCUUCCGAUCUUUCUAUGAUAUUGAUGGGAUGCAGGGGUACGUAUAAUAUUCAUGUGAUGCAGCGGUACGUUUCCGAAUUCCGAUCUUUCUCGAACGCGUGCUUAGGGAAAUAUCACCUCGUUAAACUUCAUGGGAAUUUUCUAUAAAAGAGGGGAAAAAAAAGCGAAGAACAGGGAAACUUCCUCCCUGGGCUGUCCCACUCUUAAAAAGGACGCCAGAGAGAAGAAUUACGCAGAUUCAGUGUCAAUCAUGUCUAAUGAAUUGAUAGAGUUAACCAAAAAGGACAAUAUUCAGGAAAAGGAUGGUUGCACAGCAAUGCACAAAGCCCUCGUGGAAGGGGAUGGUGAGGUGGUUCAUUUUCUCGGAAAGCUUGAUCUCGAAUCUCGUCCUGUUGUAGAAGACAACGGGUUGAUGACGCCGCUACACAGAGCAGCUGUCGAUGGUGAUGGUGGCGUGAUUACGGAAAUAGCAAGCUCGGAAUCCCUUGCAAAGCUGACUUCCAAUGAUGAGACAGCUCUUAUCCUUGCAGUGAAGAAUUCUCAAAUCGAUGCUUUUAAAAUCUUGAUGGAGGAGACAAAGAGACAUAACCUGGAGCAUCUCUUCAGUGCGACAGAUAAGGAGGGCAACAGUAUUCUGCAUCUUGCUGCGCUGAACAAAUUAAUCGUGGUAAGCUCUCCCUGCUGUCUCUCACACUGUCGCAAAGACACACAAGACUUUUGAUUACCAAUUAAUUUGUACAUGGAGAAAUUAACCAUAGUCUUAGGUAGAUCAUGAUAGACAUAAUAUCUAUAAGAUUGAGGAGGCCAGUAGCUAGCUAGUGUCAACUCUAGAGAAUUUGAGGCGAAAAUUUUGUUUCAAAGCCUCUUUAUCUUAGGGUUAUGAUAAAACUGCUAGUUACAUUUACGCAACUCUAAUAGUUCAAUCGCAUAUUUAACAAAUAUAUAUACACAUAUACAGUUUAGCAAUAUAUAUAUAUAUAUAUAUAGCUAAAGGUAAGGGAAAAAAAGAAUUAGUUUAAAUGAGGGAAAUUUGUUUAUAAAAUUUCAUUUGAAAAAUAAAAAGUUAAAAGAUUUCUUUAGGAAAGAUUAAUUUAGAGGACUUUAUAUUAGGAACUAGAAAGUAUGCAGAUAUGUAAUAAAAUUUACUUAAUAUUAAUUAAUAAAUUUUUAAAAAUAAACUUCAAUUAUUCAACAAUUUAGGGGCCUAAAUUGAUAGUUGCCUCAGUUGCUAAGGCCAAAAGAGAAAAAUGAAUAUUCUUACUUUGUUAAAGUGAGAAUGUCACUAAAAUACAAAUAUAUAUAUAUAUAUAUGUUUUAAUACUUUAAAACUAAGUUUUAUUAUUUUUUAGUACAUUGAUAUUGUAUUUUUUUUUCGUUUAGUAGUAGCAUCCUCACUUUAUUAAAGUGAGGUUGUCGCAAUCAUUGGGAAAAUUUGUGUGGGUAGGUGCACUAUUCAUCGAGAGCCAUAAUUUAAAUAACAAAAUAAUAUUUAUAUUCUAUUCGAAUUAAGUCUUGGGUAUUUUUGUUAUGACUCCCUCAACUAAAAUCCUACUUCCCCACUCUGUUCAGGCUUCUGCCUGCUUCUGCCUCUUUAUGAUGUUUAAUAAUUGCAGAUUGUGAAUCUACUUCUUGAGAGUUCCUGCAGUCACAAAAAUCAAAUCAAUUCCAAAAACAAUCAAGGACAGACAGCCUUGGAUAUAUGCAAUGCCAAUUCUGAAGAUAGAGUUUCCAAAGAAAUUGGCUCGAUCCUUGAAAGGGCUGCUGCUCGGCAACAAAGUGCUCAUUUUCCAGAACUCCCCACCGAUACCACUAGUGGCUCCUGGAAUUUCACACGGUUUCCGAUAGAGACAAGAAACGUAAUACUGAUGGUCCUAGGAAUGAUUGCUACAGCUUUUUUCACCUCAGCCUAUGAUUUGCCAAAUGGCUUUGUUAAAGGAAAUCAUCCUCAAGGUAAAUUAAACUUAUUUAUGGAGAAAAAUUUUCUCUUAAAGGAAUGCUUAUGACAAAAUACAUUACACUAAAGUCUAUACUUCUUCUUUUUUUGGACUUUUACUUGUCCUUAUUUUAUUAAGAUAAGACAUUUCUUUUUUGUAAAAUUACUAUAUCUACAUAAGGGCAACUUCUUUUUAGCAGAAUCUUGCAGUUUGCCUGCUUCCUUUCUCAUGGAAGAUUUUAUAUGGAUAUUUUGCAGGUGAAAAUUUUGAUGCUAAGGAUGUUAUAUCCGGUAAGUUACCAGCGGUUGUCUACCUGAUGGUUUUCAAUUCGGCUGGGUUUAUUACUACUAUGGCUGCAAUUACCAUACUUGUAUGGCCGCUACAACUUAGAACAAUCCUCCUCUUUCUUGUGAUCUGCAUAUGUGUUGUUUAUGUUAUGUUUGUGGAUGAGGUCACGCCUAAGUUCAAUGUAAGUGUUGGGAAAUUCAGCGUUUCAAGCAUUGCUUUGAUGUGGUCACUAGUCGCAGCCCUUUCUCUCUCAGGAAUCUCUAUACUGAGUAUGCUGGGGAAAUACACUUCAUCCCUUUGGCGAUUCAUUGUCUGGCUGUCCAUGAAAAGAGCAAAUUGGUGGAGCAACAAUACUGUUGAAGAUUUAGAGGCUAGUUCAAUUUGAUGAUAGAGUUCAAUUUGAUUCUUUUCCUUUUUGUAGAAAUAAGUUGUUAGGAAAAUGUAAAAAGAAAGUUCCACUGAAGACAAACGUUGCUUAGCGGAUUCACUAAGUGAAAAUAGCUUUAUUCUUCUCGUUUUCCUAAUUUUUUCCUGGAAAGUAUAAAAAUCUAUUGUGUGUGUUUCUUCUAUGGAUUAGGCCUAUAUUCGCAUAACAACAUAAAUCUUUGUCACUUGUUUUUAUCUCAAAUUGUUACUGGAUUUAUUAGAUUUCUUGAUUUCUUUUUUCCUUUUUCCUUUUCAUUAAUCAAACUGAUCUCCGGAGUAAUUACAUAGGAUCUGAUUACCGACUUAAUCUCUGGAAGCGGCUGGUAUGAAAGCGCGCAAUGUUCUCUCUUUGAUUUAUCCAAGGAAUGGCAGCAACUAAGUUCAUUGAAUAGGGAAAAUGAUUUUAAUGAUUGGAGAGUAAAGAUAUGAUGAUUUUAUUGCUUCCUCAAGGGCUUGGAAGCUCUCUACGAGGAUUCAAACAUACAUUCGAAAUAAAACUUACUGAUGAUAAAAGAAGAGGUGACUUUGACUCUUUGAGAAGGCACCUGCCGGCAUAAUCUUGGGUUUGAGGUAAAGUUUGGAAGAGAUAGCUAGUGACAUCAGCAAAUCUCUUAAUUUGGAGAGAGUAUAAACUUAAUUCAUAGCACUAUCUAUGCUUUAGGGUUACUUACUGAUAACGUUUCAACAUUCGAUAAAGAAUAUUCGCAUCGUCUGUUCUAUUUAUCCAACCUUGCUGCUUUCUAGCCUUUUUUUUUUAAUAAUAGAUUUUGGAUGGAAAUGAGGAAUCUUAUUCACUAUUCUUACUUUAUUUUAGAUAAUUGUGAGCACAAAUUAUAUUCACAACAACUAAGUAAAAACAUUAAAAUAACUUAAAAUAAACAUACGAACUCUCGAGUUGACUAACAACUCUACCCCUAAUAAUUUUAGUAACAAACGAUUUUUGAUGGAGAUAUAGGUCAAUGCAUCAAUGUUUUACAAAAAUAUAUGAACUAAACAAAUAUUCAUUCUAUAGAAUUUUAUGAUAGGUCAUAUAAUGAUUAUAUUUAUAUGAUUGCGUUGAUCAAUCACCGAUAAAGAUUCUAACAAUACUAAAUUUACUUUAAAUGAUAAACAUUCUAAGUUUCUAACAUUACUAAAUUUGCUUUAAAUGGACACCUAUAAUUGUCUGUGGUGGCUAAUCUAAUUUGUUUACUAAGUUUUUUUUCAUUGUUUAAUAAGACAACACCAAAUAUAAUUUUAUUGAACUUUUCUAAUUUAUCCUAGCGCAAUUUUGUUUAGUGCACUCGUGGCCAAGCAGUCUAACAAAAAUGCCUUUAUGGGUUUGUCAUUUUUCUUCGACACACCAUAAUCGUGUACGUGUAAUUUCCAAAUUCCAAUCCAAAAUUCCAAGACCCACGUUAAGGCGAAAAGCGGGAAUGCAGGAGGAAACUCUCAAGUUAUAGCAUACAUCUCGAAGGGAAUUACAGCAUAUACACCUCGAUACUUUAAAAAUUAUCUCAAUACCCUAAAAUCAGAAUUUGCCAAAAUUUUCAUCAAUACCAUUUAAAAAACUGAUAGGAAAUUACUAAACUACCCUCAUUUUUAAACACUUCAACUCAAACGGCAUCACCUCUGCUCAAACAAACAAACACUCAUCCUCCAUUCUCAAUUCCUUCACCUCUGCAAUUCCCUCACCGGCAUCACAUCUACUCAAACAAACACUCAUUCUCCAUACAUGCUAAAUCGAACAUCAAUAUGAGCAAACUGAGCCUGAGAAGGGGAAGAUGCCACAACUGAGAAAGAGAAGCCUAGUUUAUCACUACACAAUCGCCGGCGAGCGCUAAUCCUUUAUUGUAAAAUUAUCAUAAUGUAACUACUUAAGGUAAGUAAUUCCCUCUAAUUAGUUUUCUUGUCGAUAUUUAGGGAAAAAACAAAAAUUUAGGGUUUUAUAUUGAAAAAAUAGAUUAAUUAGCUGUGGGUCUCUCAUAACAUGUUCGAAAAUAAUUUUUUAAUUGUUUUGCUACAUGCGAAUUGUGAAAUUUUGAUGGAUUAUGCCGAUUAUAAUUUCGUCAUAUAACACAUGAUUUGGUCGUGUAAGGUUAUGUAAGAUUUAAGGUUGUGUAUUACACGACCUUUAUGUAUUGUACGAUUACACGACCUUUAUGUAUUGCACAAUUACACGACCGUCAUGUAUUGCACGAUUACACUACUUUCAUGCAUUACACGACUAUUACGACUUUCAUGUAUUACACGACCUUCAUGUAUUACUUCUAAAUAGUUGAGUAUUGUUUUUUGAAUUGAUUAAGAGUUGUUUCUUGAGGUUUGAUUUAUUUUUAUUAUUUCUAAAUGGUGUUCUUCUGUGUAUUUAAUUGUAGUCAAUUUCCUAUAAUUGAUAUGUUUUUUUCUUAAUUGAUUUCAUGGAAUUAUUAUAUGCAGGCUGUCCUCAUGUAUGCAUGUAUGCUUGGGAAGAGGAAGAAAGCACUUUCAAGAUAAAAAAGAAUAAAAUGGUUGUAAUAUAUUUAAUUGCGAUGCUCAUUAGUGUAUUCUAUCCAAAUAUUGAAAAAUUUGUGCACUGAUAACUUUGUUUAUUUAUACUAAUGAAUCUAAUCAUUUCUCAAAUUGUCCGAUGCGCAAAUUUAGUGGACUUGCUACAAUUUAUGAACCUAAUUAACUGUAAGUACAUAUUAUACCAUAUAAAAUAUCAUAUAUUUAACCGUUACUAAGAAAUGCUUACAUGCUUGCCCAGAACUAGUACUUAUAAACUGACUAAACAAAAAACCUUUUUAAAUGAAAUCAAUUAAGUUUGAUUUCCCUUUAUUGAAAACGAGGAUAAAUCAAUAUUAACAUGAUACAUAAAUUGACAUCUAAAAAAAUUAAGUUCUUUCAUAAUGCAACAAAUUUUAGUCGAAAAAUUAAGUUCUUUCAUAAUGCAACUAUCUUCUCCACCAAUUCAGCAUAUGUUGUUGAUCGUGGUAUCAUCAUCCCUUUAGCCUUAGAAUCUUUGAACUUAUACUCGUCAUUUUGCUCAAUCCAUUCACCAUUGAAGAGAAUAAGCGCACGUACCAAAAUCAUAUCUGAUGAUACAAUAAAAAAACAAUAUCAAAUUUCAUAUACAAGUAACUACAUGACCUACACGACUACAUUACUUACAUGACUUACACGACCUACACGACUAUAUUUACUUACAUGACUUACAUGACUUACACGACCUACAUGACGUACACGAUGUCAAAAGGAAUUUAUGACGCAAAACAUUUUCACCAUAAAUAAAUUAUAUUGCUGAAAAAAUAAUUAAACAACCUACAUUGCAUAUAUUUCUGCAUAUAAGAAAAAAUGGUGAAAAUAAUUAAAAAUAAAACAUUAUAAUGUGAGAAAAUUUUCUAAAUUUUCCUAAAAAAAACACUUUGAUCACUGCAAAUGGUGUUCUUCUGUGUAUUUAAUUGUAGUUAAUUUCCUAUAAUUGAUAUGCUUUUUUCUUAAUUGAUUUUAUGGGAUUAUUAUAUGCAGACAGUCUUCAUGUAUGCAUGUGCUUGGGAAGAAGAAGAAAGCACUUUCAAGAUUAAAAAAAGAGAGAAUAAAAUGGUUGUAAUCUAUUUAAUUGCAAUGUUUAUUAGUGUAUCUUAUCCAAAUAUUGAAAAAUUUGUGUACUGAUAACUUUGUUUAUUUAUACUAGUGAAUCUAAUCAUUUCUCGAACUGUCCGAUGUGCAAAUUUAGUUGACUUCCUGCAAUUUAUGAACCUAAUUAACUGUGAGUACAAAUUAUACCAUUUGAAAUACCAUAUAUUUAACUGUUACUAAGAAAUGUUUACAUGCUUGCCCAUAACUAGUACUUAUAAACUGACUAAACAAAAAACCUUUUUAAAUGAAAUCAAUUAAGUUUGAUUUCCCUUUAUUGAAAACGAGGAUAAAUCAAUAUUAACAUGAUACAUAAAUUGACAUCUAAAAAAAUUAAGUUCUUUCAUAAUGCAACAAAUUUUAGUCGAAAAAUUAAGUUCUUUCAUAAUGCAACUAUCUUCUCCACCAAUUCAGCAUAUGUUGUUGAUCGUGGUAUCAUCAUCCCUUUAGCCUUAGAAUCUUUGAACUUAUACUCGUCAUUUUGCUCAAUCCAUUCACCAUUGAAGAGAAUAAGCGCACGUACCAAAAUCAUAUCUGAUGAUACAAUAAAAAAACAAUAUCAAAUUUCAUAUACAAGUAACUACAUGACCUACACGACUACAUUACUUACAUGACUUACACGACCUACACGACUAUAUUUACUUACAUGACUUACAUGACUUACACGACCUACAUGACGUACACGAUGUCAAAAGGAAUUUAUGACGCAAAACAUUUUCACCAUAAAUAAAUUAUAUUGCUGAAAAAAUAAUUAAACAACCUACAUUGCAUAUAUUUCUGCAUAUAAGAAAAAAUGGUGAAAAUAAUUAAAAAUAAAACAUUAUAAUGUGAGAAAAUUUUCUAAAUUUUCCUAAAAAAUAAAAAAACUUAAAACCUAACAACAUUAACAUACCUUAUUGGGUUGUUUAAUAAACAAUGCAUCUCCUUUGAGUUAAAGAAAGAGUAGGGGUUAAAGAAAUGAAUACAUAAUUGUAUUUGUGUAAGAAGUUAUGAGAGAUUUUAGGGGAUUUUGAGAGAAUUUCGACGGUAAGAAGAGAUGUGGGUGAAAAAAAUAUGAAGAUAGUGAAAUUGAGUGAAUUUGAUGCAUUCAUUAAGGGUAUUUCAGACUUUACACACAUUUGUCAGGGUAUCCAUGAAAACUAAAAAGUGAGGGGGUAUUUAAAAAAAUUUGUAAUUAUUGAAGGGUAUUUAAUUAAAAACCCCUACAUCUCGUUUAAAUUUGGGAGCAUCUUGGAAGUUACAUUGAAGGACCCACACGCAAAAAUGCCUUUUUGCUUUGUUAGGCGGCAUUCGUUUUUUACCUUAAAUAUGAAUUGGUCUUAAUGUUACUAAAAUCUAAAUGAGUCUAAAUGCACAUGUCAAAAUAAUAUGUUUGCUUUUUAUUUUUUAAUGUCCGAACGUAAGUUAUAAGUUGUUUGUUUUUAUAAAAUCAAAAUAUCUUAAAUCUAAUGCUUUUUCACUUGACUUUGAAAGUAUUAUAUAUGCAUGAAGUUUAAAUAUGUGUAUGUUUACAAUAAAAUAAUUUUUAUAUGUUAUAAAUAUUUAUAACAUAAGAAUUUGAUAUAUAAUUUAUAAAAAAUAAUUUUGAUAACAUCAUUUUUUGCAAUUUUACAUAAUAUUAUACAUAAAAAAUUGUUAUCUAAUAAUAAAAAAAUUGUUUAAAAUUCACAUUGAAUUUAUGUUAAGUAUUUAAUACCAAGUAAGAUUUGAGAACAAGGAAAAUUCUAAUAUGAUAUCUAAUAGUUAGGUGGGCAAUAAAUACAUUUAAUGAGAGUAUUUGUGAGAAAAAAAAUUAAAUUUUUUCAGAUAUUUUAUCAUUUGAAUGAAAGUCAGGAAAUUUUAUUUUUUCUAUUCAAAUAAAAAUGUCCUAUAAUAAGACUUCAGUUACAAAAUAAAAAAAAUCAAAAUAUCAAAACAUCUUGACUUAAGUCAAAUUGAGAUUUCAUACAUAGAAACAAACAUAUCCUUACACUUACCAUGUAAUUUCCAAUCAAAUUUUCCAAAAGUCAGGCGUAAGCAAGGUGAAGACGCGGCAAUGCAGAAGGAAAUGCGCUGGUAACCCCGUGAACUAAAGUUAUUUGGGAAAUUUACAGUAAUAACCAUUAAAGUUUUGAUUUUUUUCAUCUUAACCCCUCAAAAAUAUUUCUAUCAACAUUAGCCAUAAAAUAACUUUUGAGACCAAAAUACCCCUCCUUCAUCUCUCCCCCAAAAAGCUUGUUCUGUGGCUGGAAAUUUGUUCUGUGGCCAAAAAGCUUGACUAUGCCCGACAUGGAAUGAAACACUUACGAUAAUAUUGUUUUGUUUGGGGAUGAUUUUUGCUGAAUAUAUUAUAUGUUGCCCUAUCUAGCUGGUGCUUUCUUGAUAUCUAUAUAUAUAUAUGAUUUAAAGUUGUGGAGAGAAAGGGAGAUGGAGGAGGAAGUAUUGAUAUAACCUUGUCAUUAUGUCAUUCAAAACUUGGUGCGACAGGCACCUGUCGCACCAAGGCCUGUCGCACCAAGUCUUGGUGCGACAGGUGCCUGUCGCACCAAGUUUUAGUGCGACAGGGUGUCUGUCGCACCAAAACUUGGUGCGACAGGCACCCUGUCGCCAGAUUUAUCCCCCGACUCAAAUCAAUAAGUUCGAAAAUAACUCAUACAACACUUACGAUAAUAUUGUUUUGUUUGGGGAUGAUUUUUGCUGAAUAUAUUAUAUGUUGCCCUAUCUAGCUGGUGCUUUCUUGAUAUCUAUAUAUAUAUAUGAUUUAAAGUUGUGGAGAGAAAGGGAGAUGGAGGAGGAAGUAUUGAUAUAACCUUGUCAUUAUGUCAUUCAAAACUUGGUGCGACAGGCACCUGUCGCACCAAGGCCUGUCGCACCAAGUCUUGGUGCGACAGGUGCCUGUCGCACCAAGUUUUAGUGCGACAGGGUGUCUGUCGCACCAAAACUUGUUGCGACAGGCACCCUGUCGCCAGAUUUAUCCCCCGACUCAAAUCAAUAAGUUCGAAAAUAACUCAUACAACGAUGCCGAUUAGUUUUGGUCUGUAAAGAAGGGUAAUUUGGGGAGAAAGGUUUGUGUUUGGCUAAUGUUGAUAGAAAAAAGUUCAGAGGGUUAGUUACAUUUUUAGACUAUAUCUUUCUAUUCUUCUCCUGCAAAUUAUAUUCUCAUUUCUUUUGAAUUAAUGGAAAGCUAGAAAAUGAAAUUUCAUGAUUCAAACAUUAAAAUUUAAGUAAAAAUUAAAAUAUAUCAAGCUAAUUAAGGAGGAAAAAAUUGGGAUAUAUGAUGUGAAGUGAAGCCAACAACAGGUAUCAAAGGUCGGCAUUCAUAAAUCGUAAUGAAGAAUAAAACCUAGCCCCAAAAAAUUAAAAAAAUAAUAAAAAAAAGAAGGGAAAGAAACAUAUACAAAUAUAUAUGCAGUAGAGUCAACAUAUCAAUUUGACCUCAAGCAAUAAUCAUGAUAAAACUCAUCGACUAGGGGCAUCUCCUGAAGCAAUCUAUCAAAUUCCUUGAGUGACAAAUCUCUGAUCAGAACUGAAUUAUUAUUAUUAUUAAUGCUUUCACCUGCAAAUCCAUUGAUAUUCAUUCCCCCUUCCAUAAUCUUCGUGCCCAAAUUGCUUCUAACUUUUCUCGACUUCGACGCGGGUGAGAGAUUGCUGCCGCGUGCCCCAGAAUCUUUACCAGUCAGUUCCUGCACGACAGACUUGAAGCUCCUUGCAUCUGUUUCAAUGUACUGCGUCUUGAUCAACACAAUCUUCACCGGCUCUCUGCCACCGCCGCCACUGCAAAUGCCCGACAUGGAAUGAAACACUUACGAUAAUAUUGUUUUGUUUGGGGAUGAUUUUUGCUGAAUAUAUUAUAUGUUGCCCUAUCUAGCUGGUGCUUUCUUGAUAUCUAUAUAUAUAUAUGAUUUAAAGUUGUGGAGAGAAAGGGAGAUGGAGGAGGAAGUAUUGAUAUAACCUUGUCAUUAUGUCAUUCAAAACUUGGUGCGACAGGCACCUGUCGCACCAAGGCCUGUCGCACCAAGUCUUGGUGCGACAGGUGCCUGUCGCACCAAGUUUUAGUGCGACAGGGUGUCUGUCGCACCAAAACUUGUUGCGACAGGCACCCUGUCGCCAGAUUUAUCCCCCGACUCAAAUCAAUAAGUUCGAAAAUAACUCAUACAACGAUGCCGAUUAGUUUUGGUCUGUAAAGAAGGGUAAUUUGGGGAGAAAGGUUUGUGUUUGGCUAAUGUUGAUAGAAAAAAGUUCAGAGGGUUAGUUACAAAAAUAACAAAAUAUUUAUGAUUAUUUUCGUAAAUUUCCCAAGUUAUUUGGGGAACUUUAGAGAAAGUUACACAAGUUAUGAUAUUUUUUAUAGAGUAACGACCAGAUGGCUUGUGUACGACUGCACGCGUGUCAAGAUCUUAAAUCGAGCUAUGUUGUGGCCCCCAGAGAUGUCUCUCUCUCAGAUCCUCCACAAGGCCCAUCUUUUAUAUUUUUUGUUUAGCACUAAACUCAUCUUCUUGAUCGAUAUAUGCUCCGCAACAAAUAGCCAUUUCUCAAACUAUAUUAUCCAAAAAUGAACAAAAAGCUAGAGUGAAAUUUUGUUUCUUUAAAAAUCAAACAUGAAAAACACCAUACUUUCUGAUUACAUUCGGGACUGUAGCAUUGUCAAAUAUGGCAAAGCUAUGUAUGAUUCAUUUGCCCAAAUUCAUGUGUUAGCUAUCAGUCCAAACAAAAUACAAGCAGAUUCUGUUUGCCCAAAUUCUUCACUAGGCUAAAAAGGGGAAUUUUCAUUAUAAAAUUGGGACUGUUACAAAAUCUCAAAGCUUGAUAAUUUCUCUGGCUUCAUCAAUCUUUAUUUGCUUUUUAAAAAUAACUGUAGAUGAACUUUUAUUGAUAUAUGAUAAUUGAGUCCUUCUCUAGUGAGGAUGUUUGUAUUUUUUAAAAUGUUUGAUUCAUGAUUUUACAACAUUGUAAAAUAAUUAAGUAGUUUACAAUGUUGUAAAACCUCAAAUUCGCACUUUUAAAAAUGCAGACAUUUGCACUUAAAAAUGAUUAUAUGAUAACUGACGAGCGAGAUAGUAUAAGCGGAAAUACUUUAAGAUAAACCCCACUCACUCAAUACAACGAUGCGAAUGCAUUGGUCAAAGUUUGAUGUGGUGUUUGUAAAUCACCCUGUCAAAUGAAUCCGACUUCAUGAUGGAUAAAAUAUCGUUCUAAUCCAAAUGACUCGGACAUUGUGAUAGAGUAGAUAUCGUUCUACUCCAAAUGACUCAACAUCAUGAAAUUUUUAAAUAAUACUCAACAAUGUGAGGUUAAGGAUAAGGAUAACGAAUCCAUCAAGGGAAAAAAAUAUAGAGAAUUUAUUGAAUAACUAAAUUAUAUUAAUAAUGACAAGACCUCUUUAUUUAUAAUAAGUAAAAAUCUACUUCCCAAUAUAACUCAAAUAGGAAAACCGAAUCACAAUUAAACUAGAAAUAAUAUAUAUAUAAACACCUAGCUAAUAAGAUGCUAAUUAAAAUAAAAAUAUCAUAAAAUAUUCUAAUAACCUACUGCGUCAAUAACACAUCCAUUUUUAUUUUUAUUUUAUUUUAACACUCAAUCAAUCGGUUUUCGGCUUAGUUCGAUUGAAAAAUCAAAAACUGAUUGUUCAUUUUUUUUAACCAUUCAGUUUUUAUUGACCAAAUUGAAUGCCCAGCCCUACAUUAGCGUAACUAACUGAUAACGUGUCAACAUCAGUAAAGUGUUUUCGUUCUCCAACAUUGUUGUGUUACUAGCCUUUUUUUUUUUGGUCAAUAAUAGGUUUUGGUUGGAGAUGAGAAAUCUUAUUCACUACUCUUACUUUAGGUAAUUGUGAGCACAAAUUAUAUUCACAACAACUGAGUAAAAAUAUAAAAAUGACUUAAAAUAAACACAUGAACUCUCGAGUUGACCAACAACACUACCCUCAAUGACUUGAGUAACGAGCGAUUCUUGAUGGAUGUAGGUCAACACCGUGACCGUGUGUAAGUGUAAUUUCCAAAUUCCAAUCCAAAAUUCCAAGACCCACGUUGAGGCGAAAAGCAGGAAUGCAGGAGGAAAUUAUCAAGUUAUUGCAUAAACAUCCCAUUGAAUUUUGGAAGCAUCUUGGAAGUUAUAUUGAAGGGCCCACACGCAAGAAUGCCCUUUUCCUUUCUCACACUCACCGUGUAAUUUCCAAAGGCCUUCGUAAGUAAGGUAAAGACGCGGCAAUGCAGAAGGAAAUGCGCAAGUAACCCGGCGAAAAAAAGUUAUUUGCGAAGCUUCAAAGAAAGUUACACAAGUUAUGACUUAUGAUAUCUUUCCCAGUCCACGACUGCAUGUAUCAAGGUUGUGAGGUUCACACGUCUCUCUCGGAUCCUCAACAAAUCCAUCUUUUAUAGUUUUUCUAUAGCACUAAACUCACUUCUCAUCUUCUUGGCUACGCAACAAAUAGCCAUUCCUCAAACCACGCAAUGCAAAAACGAACAAAAAAAGUAGAGACAACAUUUGUUUCUUUAAAAAUCAAACUGAAAAACGCCAUGCUUUCUGAUUGGACGGUGGCAUUGUCAAAUUUGGGAAAGCUAUGUUGAUUUAUUUGAUUAUGCAGAAACAAACCAAAUUGCAGCGUCAAUAAACCCAGCUAUAUUAUUCAUGUGUUAGUUAUCAGUCCAAACAAAAUACAAGUAGAGUCAUGUUCGCCAUAAUUCUUCUCUAGGCUAAAAAGGAGAAUUUUCAUUAUAAAAUUGGGACUGUUACAAAAUAAUUUCUCAGGCUUCAUCAAUCUUUAUUCACUUUUUCAAAAUAGUUGUGGAUGAACUUUUAUUGAUAUAUGAUAAGAGAGUUGUUCUUUUGUGAAGAUGUUCACAUUUUUUAAAAUAUAGAUUUAAGAUUUUACAAUGCUGUAAAAGAUUUUUAUAAUGUUGUGAAAUGAUUCAUUAGUUUACAACAUAAUAAAUUUUUUCUUAUAAUAUUGUACCAAAUUCGCUUUUUAGAACAUGCGAACAUUCGCUUUUGUAAAUGUUAAUAUGAUAAUUGACAUAGUCAGGUAGUGUAAACAGAAAUAUUGUAAGAUAAAAUCCAGCUUACUCGACAUAAAAGGCGGGAAUACAUGGGUUUAAGUUUGAUAUGGUAGUUGUGAAUCACUAUGUCAAACAAAUCCCAUUACAUGAUAGAUUAGAUAUCGUUUCAAUUCAAAUGAUUGAACAUCGUGAGAUUUUUAAAUCACACUCAACAAUAUGAGGUUAAAGAUAAAGAUAACAUAACAUAAUUAAAUGGAAAUAUAUAUAUCUGCUACAAAUACUAAAACGUCAAACACCAAAGACAGACAGUGUAUUAUCUGAGAGGAUUGACAAGGGAUGAGCUUGACAAGAGAGGCUUCAAAGUGUCCGACAUUGCGCAAAUGUAAGCGGCGGCCAUUGAGAAUGCAGAAACUAGGGACAGUGGCCAGAGCGGAAGCGCGCUGAAAAGAAUCAUCAUCAAUGCUACGGAUAUGAAAAAUGUUAAGGAAUUGAAGACAAUGGCUGAUAGGAUAAAAUAAGGAUGUUGAUUCGCAAUCUGGCAGAAGGGACUUAGGCGGCUAGAAUUGCAUUCGUAGGCCUGUUCAGCUCUGCAUCCCAGGAUUUUCAAUUGUACGUGGAAGGUUGUAGUUGAUAACAGUGCUGAGAUGAGUAAUAAUAGAUGAUAUACAUUAAUGCCUUUAGAGUGCUUCUUUCCUGUUUUCAUGGGCCAGUUAUGCCGCAAAUUUGAAGCAGCUGAUGAGCUAGCUGUCUUCCAAGGUGAGAUGUCUAAAGCGGUAAAAUCACUAGUGCCCAUAGUUUUAUUCUUGGAGAUGGAGUUUGAGCCUGGAAAAUAAUUCAAUAGCUGCAGAAUUCAAACAUGAAAUUACAACAAACUAAAAAUUAAAAAAAGAAAAAAAACUGUUGGUGGCAAAAGAGAUUUAGCUAGAUUAGUUAGUAAAACGAACACAGCGAUAUAAAAGGUGACGAUCAAAUGAAAACUAUCCCUGACUACGAAUAAGCAUAUUGAAGAGUUUAAAUAGCUUCAGUGGAAAUCAAAUUACGUAGGAAUCGCGAAAGAAAGAUUGCGGAGUCAUCCCGAAAAAAUAGGACAAGAAAAAUGGAAGCAACCGCGUUGUUUACUUUGUUAUUUUAUUUGUGCAGGACGCCGCUGGCAUUUUGCAGCUUGGAAAGCAUAUUGCUUGCCUGGUUAGUAAUGUUGGAUUUAUGCCCAAAAAAAGAGUUAAUAUGAGUUUUUAUUUUGAUGUCCAAUGUUUUUGUUUAAAGUUUUGUCAUCGUAAUUGUUAUUUUUAACAAAAAAAAACAAUUAAGCUAUUAAAGCACUAAUAAUAUAGCAUAAUAUGUUCUCUCAAAUACAAAUUUAGAUUUUACAUCAUUUAAAAACUUAUUUAAUUAUUAUAAAGGUAUAUAAAUAUAGUAAUUUUAUGUUUUUAAAGAACCAUUGUAUUAGUAAAAUAUUAACACAUUAGUAAAAUAUAUAUAUAUAUAUAUAUAUAUAUAAUACUCAGAAAAGUAAGAUAAUAUAAUAUCAAUAAAGUGCUAUGGAUGUGGGAGCCAUUCAAUUAUGCUUGAAAAAAUGUCAAAGUUACAGUUCUAGUGCACUGGGCCCUGGCGAGAACAUUAACGAAAAAGACUCGGUAUCAAAUGUGUUUCAUUUUCUAAACUAAUGCUUGAUUCGACCCUACCAAAUGCCUUUUUCUCAUUUUUUUUUUUGUUCUUGCAAAAUGAAAAAAAAAAAAUGAUAGGUGAAAAAUGGUACAGUAUGCACCAAAAAAAAAUUCAAAUCAUUUAUUCAUUUUCGUACAGAAAAAAUGUCCAGGUUACAAUUAUACUGGCCCUUAGCAAAAACAAAAUUGGAAAACGUAAGCAUAAAACGUGUUUCAUUUUCUUGAAAAAUAUAAAUUGAACCGUAAUUCAGCCCAACUAAACGUGUUUUUAUUAAUUUGUGUUCUUGCAAAAUAUAAAAUAAUAGGUGCAAAACAGUACCAUUUGCACCCUGUGUCAAAUUUUUUACAUCUCAAUACAACACAUUAAAAUACGUUUUAAUCCAUUUUGUGUUGUGUCGCUGGCUUCUCUUGAGGCUAAAUAUCAUUAUUCAGCAUAUAUUUCUUUUUUCCACUGCACUCAGCUUUUUUUUUUCAAUAAAAGAAAAAUUUACAAAUAGCUUGCAUAUGAAAAAUAAUUAAUUAACAAAAAAAUUUUGUGUAUCCUUCAUUAACUGGGUUUUUGUUUUAGGCACUUGAGAUUUUAUUUGUUGGGAAAAUAACACCUACACUCAAGGUUUAGGGAACUGGUCACAAAGUCCCCCAAAUUUCAAUAAGGGACAUCAAGACCCCUUUUUAACUAUAAUACAUUUUGACUCUAUAAAUCCGCAAAUAAAUACCCAAAAAUUUUCUAAUAAAUGGAUGUAUAAAUUAUUAUGCAUAUAGAUGACCAUAUUAAGUCUUUAAAAGAAACUUAAAAAAUACAAAAUAACUUUAUUAGGGCCCCAGGUAUGUUGCACUACAAGGCUAACACUUUUAUUCUUUAAACAAUAUGCCCUUGGGCCUGAUUAGUUGAUCUUUUAGGUGUUACGUAUCAAUGUCCCCAAAAGAUUACCUUUUACUAAGCUUGGAGGGCUUGCCCUCUUUGGGGAACUUUACCACCUUAUAAUACAACCACCUAUUUUUCAUAAAUUCAUUUUCUAAAACGUCUUCUUAUAAAAUAGUCCAUGAAACGCAUGCGUUCAAUGCAACUUAUAUCAUAACAUGUGAAGUUCCUAUAGGAACAGCAAAAUUAACAUACAAUGGUAUUUAAGGACAACAUUCUUUAAUGUAGGCGGCAGUGCCAUCCAUAUGGAGAUUAAACAAAAUGGGACUAUAAUAUAGGCACUGCUGUACGGCCAAGGCGGAUGUACGGUACAGCAGAAAUAUAUUAUUAGAAUAAAUAUAAUAAUUUAAAAUUUUAAUAUCAUUUUAAAUGUCAAAAAUAAUUUAAUAUUAUUAGUCUACUAGAUAGAUUAAAUUAUUUAUAUUAAAUUUGUGUUAAUUAAAAACAUUUAAAGUUAAUUUUUUUAAUUACUAUAAUCAAAUGGUAUUAUGAGGAAAAAGGGAUUUUGGUAUCCUUUUUAAAAUUUGAGAUUUUUUAUGGUUAUUUUCCCAAAUUUUAGGUCUUUUUCCCUUAUUUGUUAGAGGUUUUGCAUAGGGGUGAGCAUUUUCAAACUAAAACUAGUCAAACCGAGCCAACCUAACCAUUGGCCCAAUUUGGGGCAGUUUGUAACAAGCCGCUUGAAUUUUGGGCUGAAAAUGGUUUGACAAAUCUCAACCUGGUCAAACUGACCAAAUCGAAAAGAAAUGCCACAUGUAUUAUUUUAGUUGCAUAUUACUCUAUAUAAUUACAUGGGAGUCGCGAAGGAAAUAUUGCGGACUUAUAACAAUAAAUAGAAAAAAAAAAAAAAAAGGAAAAAAAGGAUAAGAAAAAUGGAAGCAACCGCGUUGUUUACUUUGUUAUUUUGUUUGUGCACCACACUAUCAUGGGCGGCUUAAACUUCCCGCAAACGGAGGCUGAAUUGGUGUGCAUAGGUUUGCUUAGUAAAAAUCUAUCCAAAGGCGAGAUGUAGCAGCAGGGUGUACUUAGUAAAAGUCUAUCCACUCAUAGUAUUCAAACUAUAAUUUUAAUACUCUCUCAUUUUUAUAUUUUUUCUCACUUUUAUCAGUUAAUUAUUAUAUUAUUUAAUUCUUAACUAAUUAUAUGUGUGGAUAAAUAUAGAAUCAAGUACCAAAUGUGCCACAAUUGUAUUAAUGUGGCGAUAUUAUGUCAAAAUACUAUACAAAUCUAAAAAAAUCUAUAAAUUAACAUGACAUAAAAAUAACCAGAAAAUAAUAAAAUAAACUUAAAACUUACUUAAGAAAGUAAUUAAUUUAAUAAUUUGAAAUCUUGAGCUUUACCAUUCACCUCAGCUUAGUAAAAUUAGCCACUUAUAUUGAAAGAAAACAAAACACUCUUUUUAUUUGACAAAUUUUUCAAAAUAUAUUAUAAAAAAAUUGAUUACACCAAAAACAAGAAAAGAAAGAAAAAAAGAAAGAAUUCUUCAGCUUCACUCUGUUCUCUCCAGGCAUUUUUUGUCGCUUAUCUCCCUUUCUUUGACUUUUAUAGGCAACAAAUGCCUCCACCUUCAUUCCUUUUAUUUUUAUUUAAUUUAUUAUUAUAUUAUUAUUUUAAUCAUUAAAGGGAUGAGCAAGUGGAUGGUGGUAGCCACUUGCUCAUCUUGAUAAGUGGCUCACACACUUUUUAAUUAUUAUUUUAUUAGUUUUUAUUAUUAAUUUUUUUAGCUUUUAUAUAUGAAUACAAUCAAACUUUUUGUCUCCUACUUUCAAUUCUGAUUCCUUCUUAUUCUUAAAAUUUAUCUGCAAAUUAAAAUUAACAUGUUACAAAUUAGGGUCCUUCUAUGUUGCAACAGUUACAACGUACAACACUUUUUGUCCUCAUUCACAAUUAUCGUAGGAUCUGAAGAGACUCCAUCUAACGGUUAAGAUUAUUGAGUGGAAAAACAAAGUAUGUACUAGCAACCGUUGAAGCCAGUUAUCUACUCAAGUAAUGGCUUUUGAGGGGGCGUCAGUUUGAAACAGGUGAUUAGGAAGAACAUGAAUGAUUUACUCACGAGAAAAGAGAAACAAAGGGUUGAGAAGAUGGCCGUUAAGAAAUAAUCCGGAGACACGAAUAUGAAAAGAAGACGAUCGCAUUUUAUUGGGGGGAAAAUAUUCGGAGGAUUCACCUAAGUUGGAACCUGGGUUGUCAACAGAGCAAUUUCGAUGGCAAGAGGCAAAGAAACCAGCGGGUAUAUGUGAUUUAAUUUGACAAAUAAUCAAGAUACACCAAAUACAAGAGAAGACGAUCGCAAUUUUGUGGGGAAAAAGAUUCGGAUGUUUUGUUUAUGAAUAUAGGCUGUUGUGGGAACAAAUCAGAUGGUGCUUCUGUAAACGUAGUAGCAAAUUGCAACCUAUAUUUUCCGGUGCUGAAAGUAUAGGAAUUACCCAUAUCUGAAAGUAGAGGGAAUAUCUCAUCUGUUUGAUUUACUGGUGUGCAGUUCGAAGCGGAUGAAGAAGGCAAUUGGUGAAAAAAUAAUGGUUAAUUUUGUUUGAAAGAGUUACUAUUCAUAAUUCGAUUGGGAGAGCCGGUUAUGUUUAUUUAUAAGAAUGCAAUGAGGUGAUAUAGGUAAGAAAUUCUCAAUGUUUAAUUUUAUUGCAAGCAGCAGUGGAAUGAAGGAGGAAAAGGCAAUUAAUUUCUUGGAGAAGGAAAUGCCGAACAAUCUUGCAUUUACAUUUAAACAAACUGUGAGCUUAAGUUUGAUCGUAAUUUUAUUAAUCGGUAGACAAAGAUUAAAGUGAUCUUGAAAAUGUCAUUCAUAAGGAUAAUUUGUGUUCAUUUUGUUGGUCCAGAUACCUUGCUGAAUUUUAUUAGAUAGUGAGUUUAAUAGUAGAUUGUAUUAAUUGUUUGUUCUGUUUUUUUUUUUUAAUGCAUAGGCAUAUGAAUCUUUUUCUUCCCAUAUUGACAUCGUUUCUUACUUAAAGAUGGGGACACAUAUGCUGAAGAAUACAAGAUGCAUGGAUUUGGUGUCUGUCGUUUUGCCAAUAGGCAUUGGUAUGAAGGAGCCUGGCGUGAGCGUAUAAGACAAGGGCUUGGAAUGUACACAUUCAGAAAUGGGGAAAACCCAAUCUGGUCACAGGCAAAAUGGACUUCUCGACAUUCCAAGCGCACAAAAUACAACUCAUCUUAUAUCAUCUAUUGCAAUUUACCACUCCAAAGUACUCAAUGUGGUGCUGGUAUUUGAACCUUUUUAACCAAACUUUUAUUCAUUUUAACACUCAGCAGCUGCUGAUGCCUAAAAUUUAUUACAGAUUUAUUGUUUCAUUGCAGAUGUUUCAAUGUUCCUUGUGUAAUAUGAUUAAUGCACGUCUUCACUUUCAGCAUUUUACUGAUGUGAGUAAGAUGAAUGAAAUUGAAGAUAACAAUCAGAAGUUAUUUUUAAAUUUUGGUUGUCUGUGAGAAAACCUCACUAAGCUACACAAAACUUGUUAAUGUCAUAAUAACUUUCGUCAAGUUAAUUGUUGUUCAAGUGGGGAUUUUUUUUCUUAUUGUCGUUGUCUUGUAAUCAGGAAGCACGAUGAGCAACUGAAAGGCUUAUGAUGUGGCUAAGGUAGAUGAGAGAGUUAACAGGGCUGUAGCAGCAGUUAACAGGGUAGCAAAUGGAGAUAGAGUUGCUACAUUUAAGGCUGUCAAUGCAUCAUAACAACAACAAAGAUAGCAUCCCUCUUUGUAUGAUAUAUACCCAUGCACGUCUCAUAUAGUAAUACAAUUGUCUAGAUGGCUUUAAGACGAUGAUGACUAAUGAGUCAUUAAUCAUCAUCCUUUCUUCAUCAUUUUUCUUUAUCGAAGGGGCUUCAAAAUUUUGAAGUCCCUGCAUUAAUGAUAUUUGCUUCUCAGAGUAAGAUGGUGGAAGAGCACUAUAUUAGGUUUGUUCCUCUAAAAUCAUCUGUUAGAUGCAUUCCCAAACUAAUGGGGAAUGGAGGGAGAGAACAGAGGCGACGACAAUAACUUGUGUGUUUAGAUAAUAUUUGCCUUUUUCCUUUUUGUUUAGAGUUUUGUAAAGUUGGAUGUAAUUGUAAGAGUUAAGAGUGCUGGUAAGAGACCUUCGGCCUAGCCUUUGUUGUAUGUGAGCUCACUGGUUUCUACAAUGAAAUACAAUCAAUGCUUGCCUGUAUCUUGGGGCGUUUAUGGAUUUAAUCCAAAAUGAUAAUCAAUCAACCUAUGCCUUUGAACGAAUUGAUUUAUUUUUGCUAAAAUACAAUAACAAAAUAUUCAAUUUCAAUUGGAGCUAGUUUCUUAUGAAUAAUUACUAAUUGUGGAAAGCAAUUUUCAUUGUGGCCUAUUUAAAUAAUUAUAGCCAUGAUGUUUAAUAUUAAUGGGUUCCUCUAUGAUGCUGUAAAAAAUUUACAGCAUCAAUAAUGUAUUAAUUGUGAACCAUUAGAUUUAAUCAAUAGUGUACAAUAUUUGUAUUAAAAAAAUAAUUUAAAAAUAAUAGUAAACAGUUUGUUAACAUUUAAGUGGGUGGAGAAUUUUUGUAAAAUAAUUGUGACCACCCUUAGAGUUUGAAAUAAUUUCACUUAAAUAGCAUAUUUUAUUUAAAAUUACUUUUCAGCCCUCCUUUAAAUUUGUAAUAUGAUAAUCUUUUUUAAAUAAAUCUUCCAAAAUCAACUAUCAUUAAGUAUAAAAUAUAAUAUCAAGUAGGUUAUUUAACACAAAGUCUUAUAAUAAUUUGUAUUGUAUGAAUUUAAUUACAAACCAUUAAUACCUAAACAAUAAUGAUAAUAGAAGGCAUUUCAAUAAACUAUUUUAUAUGUGUUUUAUUAAUAAUACUAUAUGAGUCACAACAAAUGAGAAAUAUUUUAUUCACCAAUUAUUAUUGAAAAAUAUAUAUGUCUAUAUAACUAUAGAGUGAGAAAUAUUUUGAUUUAAAUUUUUAACAAAAGAUUAAACUAUUUAUUUCAUGCAAUUCAAUGGUAGAGGAUAUAACAUUAUGAAAUGUUGCUUUGACUUUCAAUAUCAACCAUUAGAUUAUGAGAUAUUAGUGGCUCAAAUAUUGUGCUAAAAUUUUAAGUUAAAGUAUCCCAAACCAUAUCUUUAUAAUGGAAAUAUAAAAACAUGCAAUGAUUUUUUUUCCUCAUUUUGUCCAUUAAAUAUUAUUUGAUGUGAUAUUUUAUUUAUUGUCACUAUUAAUUAUCAUAAUAAAAGUAAUGACUCUUCGUAACAUAAAAUUUUUAUAAUUACUAUAAAAGAAUAACAAUAAAAUAAUCUUUCAUGAUUCAUAAACUAAAACUCAUUAGGAAUAUAUAUUCGAUUUAACUUUUAUGAAAUUAACAAAGUGAUAUUUGAAAAUAAAAUGAAAAUAUAUAAGCUUAUAAAACUUAAAACUCCCACCAUGUAAGGAUAUUAACUGUAAGAUAAAUAUAAAGUAUAGAAAAUAAGUACGUUAAAUGGGUGUUAAAAAUGAUACAUACUUCAUGAUCAAUUAUACAAUGGCCCUUAAUAUUAUAUAAAAUAAUGAGUAUUUUAAUAUACGAUAUUAAAUUUUAUUAAAACAUGUGUGAUCAAGUAAUUUUUAUGUUACAAGCAAUCUCAACAAUGAGUUUAUUGAUGUAUCUAUGACAUUUACUUAACUAUAUGUACUUGUUGUGUUAUUUAUUAGUGUUAUAUCACAUAUAAAUUUUGCAAUUGCAACUUAUUUAUUGUAUUUGUGUUAAAUAACCUACCAUUAUAUUUUAUACUUAAUGGUAAUAGAUUUUGGAAGAUUUAUUUAAAAAAGAUUAUCACAUUUCAAAUUUAAAGGGGGAUUGAAAAAUAAUUUUAAAUAAAAUAUGAUAUUUAAGUGAAAUUGUUUCAAACUAUAAGGGUGGUCAUAGUUAUUUCACAAACUUCUCCACCCCUUACACGUUUGUUAACCGUUUAUCAUUAUUUUUUAUUUUUAUUUUUACCUAAAAAUAUUGUGUACCAUUGAUUAAAUCCAAUGGUGCACAAUUAAAAACAUUAUUGAUGCUGUAAAAAAAAUUACAGCAUCAUAGAGGAACCCUUAAUGUCAACAUUUUGAAGCAACAGACCAUGCAGUUAACACCACAAAACUAAAAGUCAAAAUCUAUUUCAUAAAGAGAUUCAAAUUCAAAACUUUCUAACCAAAUACCCAAGCAUAACCAAUUCACGACAAGGAUGGCCGACGCUGCCCAAGGUUUCUCUCAAUUUGACAUAACGAAAGAGGAAAUAGAUAAGCUUGUUGCAAAAGUUGUAUAAUAUGUCCGUUUUAAAACUCAUUAGAACUCGGGGUGUCCGAUCAAGAGAGAAGACCUUGUUCAAUUGGUUACCAAAACUAUAGCCAGUGUGCUAUUCCUGCUCAUGUGAUCAGUGCGGCUAAAGAGAAGCUCUCUAAUGCUUUUGGCUAUGACUUGAGAGAGCUUCUGAGAUACCGCCCUUCAUCCGCUACUCAACGCCACUCUACUCAACAAACUGAUGUUGCCAAGGCAAAGUCCUAUGUUCUCAUAAGUAAGCUACCAGCUGAGGUGUACAAAAAAUAUGUAGAAGAUGAAAAUUCAGCACAUUUUAUCUAGUUUUACAUUUGUUGUAAUUAGCAUUGUGCAUCUUGCUCGAGGUAAAACCCCAGAAGAUAUCCUUUGGCAUCACUUUGAAACGUAUGGGAUUGUGUGAAACUAAUGUAAGCCAUCCGCCGUUUGGAAAUGCCAAGUAGGUGUUGGAGACACUAGUCCAGCAAAGAUAUUUGCAGAAAGACAAGGUUAAUGGCCCUAAAGGCAAUACUUGGUUUUAUGAGCUUGCUGAGCGAGCUCUGGAUUGACCACUUAGCGAAAAAAUGAAAGAAUACAUAUCAGAGAUUGAUAGCAAAGAAGUUGUCCCUGUGGAUGUUGACGAAGCUGAGUAGUGACCUAAUGCUAAUCUUCAUUUAACUUUGUAGAGACUGGGCAUGUUAAAAGUUUCUGAUCUCUGGUGACAGCAAUGGUGAAAAUAUUGGGAAGUUAGCAGAUUAGGGAAGGAAAUGGCCUAAAUCACCAAUCUCAUUUCUAGAAUUCGAAUGUGAGAGAGGUUGCUGCACUACGCUAAUAGCCAAUGCUGUAUCUAUAAAGUGGCUUUAAGUUACAGGUUAAAAUUAUGUAACCUGACAAUGGUUUGUACUGACAAUGAUGUUUUCAGACUUGGAGUAACUACAAAUUUUUUGGAGAAGCUAGAGCAGUUAUGGGAGCAAAACGAGUCAAGUAAAAUAGGCUUCAAUUGGAUAUCUUUUAGCCUGUCUGAAUUCUGAUGAUUGAUAUAUGAAAAUUGUGUCCACCACUGGUUGCUUUGUAAUAAAAUUUUUUAGUAGAUUAAAAAAAAAAAUCCAAGCAUAGAAAUACAUUUAGACAAUCCUGUCCCAGGAAUUAAUCCCAUCUCAAAUAAAUUGAAAAAAAAAAAAAUUUCAGGAAUUAAUCCCAUCUCAAAUAAAUUGAAAAUACAUUUAGACAAUCCUGUCCCAGGAAUUAAUCCCAUCUCAAAUAAAUUGAAAAAAAAAAAAAGAUAGUUUGGUAACACAAUUAACUCUCAGUCUGCUCCCUCAACCUCCUAAUGGUACCUCUCGCGGUCACAGCACUACCAAUACUGGAAAGGAACAUAGGACAUAAUUUAGAAUCAUUCAAAUUAAACAAUCAAAGUAAAUAUAACAGCUAAUGAGAAUCUUACUUCAAAGUGUAAGCGCCUCCAGCUUUCACCUUGCUAGAGUCUUUGCAACCCCAGAUUCCCACAGCCUUCCUCACAGCAUACUGCCAACAGUAAGGAAUAUGUAAAUAUUUAAUACAUCCACAAGCAAAAGCGAACAGUCAUUGAACAGCAAAGAGGGGAAUGUAUUACUUUCCCACAAAAUUCACAGAAGUACUAGCUGUGUUGACAGACCUCCAUCUUCUUAAGAUUGGCACCAUAACAGGUGCCUGGAAAAUAAUAAUACUUAUAAUUCCAAGAUCACAAAGCCACACAUGCAAAAACAAACUAAAACAUGAAAGUAAGGCUAACAACAGGCGAGAGAGAAACAUGUCAAUAAACAUGUCAAUAACCCACAAUUCAUGCUCAAAGCUUAAUGAGACAUAAUAUUUCUACCUACUAUUAAUAUAAAGAUAUCCCAAGGGAAAGAAAUGAAAAUCUAAGUCUACGUUACCAUAACAUCUAUACUUGAGGACACUAAACAAACCAAAAAAAUGAAUAAAACUAGCCUCAAUAUAUAUCAUACUACAAUUCCUGUCUUCUAGGUCCUUUUCGUCUGCAAAACCCGAUAUAUGAAACCAUGAUCAAAUACAUGAAUUGGAAAAGUUUUUUAAAAAAAAAAACAAGAGCAAAACCAAAAUCAUCAGUAUUGGAAAGAGAAAAACAGUGAUUAAAAGAAAAAAAGAAAUUGGAAGAAUCUAAAUCCUUUGACAAAGAAACAUAACAAACUAGGAGGUGUUACAUCAAAGAAAGAAGCAUUGCAGCUGGAGAAUAUGAGAUAAUUAUUAACUAAACAUAUCUAAAUUCUAAAAGCUCCAACUUUGGGUUCAAAAUCUUACUAUUUUCUUAUUUUCAAGUUCAACUACAUUGCAAAUCCAGUAACAAUAAUUAGAUCAAUUGUACUCGACUUUGAUUUUCACCAACCAACAACAUGAAUUCAUAUGAAGAGAAUAAAUAAAAUAAAAAGCAUAAAGGGAGAACAGGAUACCAUUUUGCAGAAGCAUACCAAAAAUUCUAAAAAUCUCACUUCUUGUUGGUGAGAAUAAAGAGAGACGAGAGUUGCCAAGCUAAAUACCCCGUUUGUUCUUUAUUGUGCUGGUGGUAAUUUAUAUAUUCUGUAAUAAACGCAAGCUAAUUACGAGUUUAAAUCAUUUCAAAAAAACAAUUACAGAGUUUAAUAAAGAAUUACCUACUGUGUCGGGUGAUUCGAUCAGCAUAAGAACAGAUUCAUCUUCAUGAACACUGACCACUUUAUUGAUCAGCUCAAUCAUCUCAAUCAACACUAGUAAUCUCCAAAUAAUCCAAGACCCACCACACAAUUGCCUCAGCAGCAUUUGUGGGCUCCCAAAAGGUCAGGGGGUGGGUGUGCAAACGACUUCUUCACAUUGUAAAUCCUAUCAUUUGCAAUCAAUCCAACCUAAUUAACGCACAUUCCACAUUCGUAUUAACAUAUGUGCCAUUUGAUAAAUCCGAAUAAUUACCUACAACAGCAAGUAUAGGUAUCGCCCAAGAUCAAAAUUGUGUCUGUAAAAGGUGGUCGUCUCGCCGGCAGACCUGUACUCCCCCAAAUUAGGGCAUUUUAUCACGGGAUGAGUAUUUUGCUCAGCUAACUCGUGCGGCAUUUAGACAACUUUGCCGAAUGUUGCUAAGUAAGCCUUGAGUUUCUCGAACUAGAGAAGAGAGUAAUGGAGCCGAAUGAGGAAAAUUGUAUUGCACAAAGAGAGAUUACAAUGCUUGAGUUGCUUAUAAUGUUUGUUGUAGUGUUUGUUGGAUGCAAAUGCCUAAUGUCAUCCCAUAUUUAUAGGGGAGGCUUGACAAGCUCUAGAGAUUCUAGAGAAAUCUACCAACUAUCUAGAAUUUACAUGUGCUGGAAAUGCAUAGAGAAUUCUAGAAUAUUUACAAGCUCAAUGUACUAGAGUUGCCUAGAACUUUUUGGAAUUGGGCCAAGCUAGGACUCUUGGCCUUGUGUUGGCUCUCUAGCCCAAAAUUGUGGGCAAUUGGGCUAGCAUCUUAGGCGGACCGUAACAUCCUCCCCCACCUAAGCUCGCGGCGUCCUCGUCGCGAUCUCGUCCUUACUCCUUUAGGGACUUGUUCCGCAAUUUGCCGUUAGUCUUCUUGUGCUUCACUCUUGGGGAGGUUCCGCCAGUUGCUCCGCAUUUGGUCGUUUCCUUCUUUUGGUUGGUGUUGCGGCGUCCCUUCUUGUGUUUCUGCAACCCCUUAUGCUCGGAUGGCUUUGUGCAUUGCUCAGCCACUCGUCUCGGUGGGAGCUUCGGAGGCAUAGCGUCCUUGCCUUUGUCAUGGACGGCUCGUCCUUGUUGUGGGACUUGGCUUGGAGGGCUUUCGGAAUCCUCUCUCUUGCGGUGUUGCCGGAUGGAGACCAAGUGGUCCGGAUUCUUCUUGAAUCCUCGUUUGCAUUGCAUGACCGAGAGCGCCUUUUUUGCGGGUUGUGCGCGCUCGACCGGUACCACGCAUGCCUUACUUCCAUCGAAGAUGCUAAGGGAAUUCGUUGCAGAGAGUGGGAAGGCAUGUACCUUUUCGAGGAAUUCCAUACCAAGGAUCAUUACGAAAUCAUCCAUCGGCACAAUCAAGAAGUCGAGCUUCCUAUUCCAUGUCCCAAGCGUAACGUAUCCCACAAAUGGCUUGGCAGGUGAAUUUACAGCCUUGAUAGUGCCUCUGUGCUGCAUUACCUUGAGGCCUAGACACUUACCCUUUUUUUAGAGAUGAAGUUGUGCAUUGCUCUGGUGUCAAGGAGCGCACAAACGGUUCGGCCAUUGAUGAGCACACUUACGAACAUGAGCCCUUUCCUUGUAGGUGCUGGCGGUUGGCUCACGAGUGUGCUAAGGCGCGUUGGAGCGAACCCAAGUUGUGGUGAGAUUCCUCCGCAGUCGGUGUGUGUUGGCCCUUGAGUUGUGCCACGAGGGCAUUCAACGACUUUUUCUCCGGGAAGUCGCGCACCUAAUGAGGGCCAUUGCAAAUGAAGCAUGGGCUUCGAGGCUUAGGUGGCUUCUCGAACUUACUUUGCCCGCCCUUGCUGCUUGGAGGCUUUUUCUUGCUCCAUUCCUUGCAAUUGCGGUCGUUGUCCUCAUGGCUCUCUCCCCCACCUUGGUCGUAGCUAGACCUCUUAUCCUUGAGAUGGGCGGAGUAUUCGGUGAGCGACUCCGCAACGGCAAUGGCGUCGUCAAGUGUUUGUAUGCCACGCCUAUCAAGCUCGGUCUUGGCCCAAUUCUUGAGGCCAUCUUGGAAGUAGAAGAGCGAAUCCUUGUCGGACUUAUUCCUUAUCUCCAACAUAAGGGUAGUGAACUCAUUGAUGUAGUCCCGAAUGCUACCCGAUUACUUGAGGCGAUGUAAGCGCACUUGCGCUUCCUUCUCCGUAUUGCUUGGGGCGAAUUGCUUUCGAAAUUCUUGCUUGAAGUCGGCCUAAGUGUCGAUGGUGCAAAUGCCCUUGCCCAUCUCGCCAUGCUUGUGACGCCACCAUAAUUGUGCAACGCCUCUAAGAUGGGUGGGUGCAGUGCCCACUUUCGAUGCCUCAUCUCGGACACUCAUGGCAUCGAAGUAUUGAUCCAGCCCAAAUAGGAAGUUGUCCACGAUUGUGGCAUUGCGUGUGCCAUCGUAAGUGUCGGGUUUUGGCACGUCAAUGCGGCGUGCAUCACUCGAGUUUGGGGAAGCUAGACUUGUGGAGAGUGUGCGCUUGUGCCAUACCCAAUCCGAGCGGACUUCAUCCACUUCCGCACGGAUAGCGCGUAGUUCGUCCUGAACAAAACUACGAAUUUUGAGCAACUCAUCAUGAAAAGAACAAAACUCACCUCGGAGAGUGUUCGCUUGCUCUUGGAUGAGAGCUUUCGUUGCCACCGUGAACUCGGCGUAUUCUCCCUCGAGACCGUCCACUCGUUCCUCCAAUCCCUCGAGGCUUUCUUGAGCGGCGGACAAUGUGAUUUCGAGAGUAGUCACACGAGGCUCCAACGCAUCCACGGAUGGGGCCUUGGACUUGCUGCGAGUCUUGCCUUGGGCGCGUUCUCCCUCUCGGCUGCAGCUUGGUUCUGAUGGAACAUCCACACCAACAACACCCUCUUGUGCUACGUUCGAAGGGUUGGCCAUUGCUUCGUGAGCUAACUUGCGUGUGUGCAAACCUUAGCUCUGAUACCACUUGUCACGGGAUGAGUAUUUUGAGCAGCUAACCUGUGCGACACUUAGACAACUUUGCCGAAUAUUGCUAAGUAAGCCUUGAGCUUCUCGAACUAGAGAAGAGAGCAAUGGAGCCGAAUGAGGAAAAUUGUAUUGCACAAAGAGAGAUUACAAUGCUUGAGUUGCUUAUAAUGUUUGUUGUAGUGUUUGUUGGAUGCAAAUGCCUAAUGUCAUCCCAUAUUUAUAGGGGAGGCUUGACAAGCUCUAGAGAUUCUAGAGAAAUCUACCAACUAUCUAGAAUUUACAUUUGCUGGAAAUGCAUAGAGAAUUCUAGAAUAUUUACAAGCUCAAUGUGCUAGAGUUGCCUAGAACUUUCCGGAAUUGGGCCAAGCUAGCACUCUUGGCCUUGUGUUGGCUCUCUAGCCCGAAAUUGUGGGCAAUUGGGCUAGCAUCUUAGGCGGACCGUAACAAUUUGCCCUCUUCACAACACGUCUGAGGCUUCAAUUCGCCCAUUUUUUUUCUUCCUCUGAUGAAGGAAUCGCCUCCUAUUUGGUCUUUGCCAGGGGCUUCUUUCGCUUAUCACCUUGGCUUCUUUUUACAGAACAGUCAACGUGCGUUUUCAGAUAUAACUUAUAUUUUCUUAACCGGCUUCUCCGAUAUUCUUUAAUACAAAUGUGACCAUCCCUGAAGCAUUCGAUCGGUUGGCUUUAAAUCUAUCGGUUACAUUCAAUGAGGACAAAAAGUGUUGCACGUUGCAACUGUUACAACAUAGGAGGACCCUAUAAAUUAAUUUAACAUAAAAAUAUAUUUGGCAGGUGUUAAGAUAAUUUAAGAAUAAUUAGCGCAUUAAUCAACAUUGUAAGUGAAAAACUACUAAUUUUAUUAUUAUUAAAUGUACAAUUUUUAAUGUCAAUUAGCUUACUUAACAACUUUUGUGCUAGAAGUUAUCUAAAUAUCUCACAGGUUACUAUGCAACAUACUCAUCCUGUGACAACAUGCUAGCUUUUUGAAGCUUAGAAAGCAUAUUGCUUGGAUACUAUUGGAUUUAUGCCCAAAAAUAAAUUAAUAUAAGUUUUUAAUUUGAUGUCCAAUGUUUUUGUACAUGUUAUUUUUAACCAAAACAAAGAGUUAAACUAUUAAGGCUCCGUUUGGGAUUAAAAUUGGAUAGCUGUAACUUAAAAGUUAUAGCAUCAAAUUGUUUGGUAACUUUAAUUGCUAUAACUUGGAAGGUAAGUUGAUUUGAUUUUACAUUUAUAUGAUGAAAAAUCUAUUAUAUAUUUAUUAAUUUUUUUAAAAUUAUUAUUUAAAAAUUAUAUUUACUACGUACUAUUAACUUUUAAUUCAUUAUUACAAAUUUUUUUUUCUACAAUAGUUAUAAUUUAAAAACUACAAUAUCUCAAUACCAACCAUGACCUAGAACAUUAAUAAAAUAGUAUAAUAUAUUAUCAUAAAUACAAAUUUAUAUUUUAUAUCAUUUAAAAGCUUAUUUUUAAAACGAAAAAGUAUAUCAGAAAAGUUAGAGAAUACAGUAUCAAUAAAGUGCUAUGGAAACGGGAGCCAUUCGAUUAUGCUUAAGAAAAUGUCAAAGUUGCAGUUCUACCAUACUGGGCCCCAGCGAAAAUUAAAAUGUGCUUCAUUCUAAAAUAUAUAUUAAUGCUUGAUUCGACCCAACCGAAUGCCUUUUUCUUAUUUUAUUUUCUUGUAAAAUGAAAAAAAAAAUUAUAGGUAAAAAAGAGUACCACACUCACCUCAAAAACUUAUCAAUUUCAAAUCAUUUAUUCAUUCUCGCACAAACAAAAUGCCGAAGUUACAAUUCUACUGGCCAUUAGCAAAAACAAAAGUGGAAAAUGUAAGUGUAAAACGUGUUUCAUUUUCUUCUUUAUGUGUUUUUCUUAAUUUAUAUUCUUGCAAAAUAUAAAAUAAUAAGAGUAAAACAGUAUGAUUCGCAUCCUGUGUUAAAUUGAGUACAUCUCAAUACAACACAUUAAAAUUCAUUUUAAUUAAUCCAUUUUAUAUCAUUCUUGUGUCAUUGGUUGCUCUUAGGGUUAAAUAUCAUUAUUCAGCAUUGAAGUAUCCAUAAAUCCUUCAAUGAUCCAAAUAUAAAUGAAAUAAUGAUUUAAAUUAUACCUGAUUUUUUAGAUUGUGUAAAAUUCCUUCUUGUCUUCAACAUCUUCUCCACAAACGUAUCUUAAGUGUGUACUUGAGAAGGCACUCCAACACUCUUGUCAGUUUUAUAUUUAGUGAAUUUUAAUAAAUCUAGAGUUGGUUUUUCUCUACCAGAUGAGAAAAUAGCCAAAAGAUAAUUUUUCAAUCCUUUUACCUCAUAUUUAUGAACCAAAAAGAGGGGAUUUGGUGAAUAGUUAUAAUUUAAAAACUACAAUAUCUCAAUACCAACCAUGACCUAGAACAUUAAUAAAAUAGUAUAAUAUAUUAUCAUAAAUACAAAUUUAUAUUUUAUAUCAUUUAAAAGCUUAUUUUUAAAACGAAAAAGUAUAUCAGAAAAGUUAGAGAAUACAGUAUCAAUAAAGUGCUAUGGAAACGGGAGCCAUUCGAUUAUGCUUAAGAAAAUGUCAAAGUUGCAGUUCUACCAUACUGGGCCCCAGCGAAAAUUAAAAUGUGCUUCAUUCUAAAAUAUAUAUUAAUGCUUGAUUCGACCCAACCGAAUGCCUUUUUCUUAUUUUAUUUUCUUGUAAAAUGAAAAAAAAAAUUAUAGGUAAAAAAGAGUACCACACUCACCUCAAAAACUUAUCAAUUUCAAAUCAUUUAUUCAUUCUCGCACAAACAAAAUGCCGAAGUUACAAUUCUACUGGCCAUUAGCAAAAACAAAAGUGGAAAAUGUAAGUGUAAAACGUGUUUCAUUUUCUUCUUUAUGUGUUUUUCUUAAUUUAUAUUCUUGCAAAAUAUAAAAUAAUAAGAGUAAAACAGUAUGAUUCGCAUCCUGUGUUAAAUUGAGUACAUCUCAAUACAACACAUUAAAAUUCAUUUUAAUUAAUCCAUUUUAUAUCAUUCUUGUGUCAUUGGUUGCUCUUAGGGUUAAAUAUCAUUAUUCAGCAUUGAAGUAUCCAUAAAUCCUUCAAUGAUCCAAAUAUAAAUGAAAUAAUGAUUUAAAUUAUACCUGAUUUUUUAGAUUGUGUAAAAUUCCUUCUUGUCUUCAACAUCUUCUCCACAAACGUAUCUUAAGUGUGUACUUGAGAAGGCACUCCAACACUCUUGUCAGUUUUAUAUUUAGUGAAUUUUAAUAAAUCUAGAGUUGGUUUUUCUCUACCAGAUGAGAAAAUAGCCAAAAGAUAAUUUUUCAAUCCUUUUACCUCAUAUUUAUGAACCAAAAAGAGGGGAUUUGGUGAAAGAUUUGAUUUUAUAUUUAAAUCUCUAGUGUUCUUUCUAUUUUUAUUUUUAUUUUAUGUCAUUAGAUUUAUAGUUGUUUUUUGCUAUAUUUUAGCUUUCGUCACAUGAUUUUGUUAGCAAUUAUGUGCCUUUCAUUGUUAUAUUUUUGGAUUAGAUCAUCAACAUUUUUCAGGGUUUCUUAUGAAUUGUCAUGAAAUUCUUUUGUACAGGCACUUACAUUCAUAUAUUUCUUUUUUUCCGCUGCAAUUUUUUUGUUUAAUUUUUGUGUUUUAAUAAAAGAAAAAAGUUUUCAAAUAACUUGCAUGUGAGAAAUAAUUAAUUAAAAACAAAUUUUUGUGUAUCCUCCAUUAACUAGGUCUUUGUUUUUGGCACUUGGAAUUUCGUUUGUUUGAAGUAUUGUGUGUGUAUAUAUAUUUUAAUUUUGCAUAUUCUUCUUAAGCCACGUCUAUUUUCACAUUUUUGCUUCAUUUAGACAUUUGGCAUUGCUUUCAAAACCAAUAAAAUUUGGGCGCAUUUGGUUUGUCUUAUAAAGAGAGUGACACUCUACUUGGACAUGCGGAGUUGAAAAUUGCCAAUUGGGAGAGGGAGAACUUGAUUGAAUGAACUACAAGAUGCAAUGAAGUGCAGUCUAUGCAUACAAUUGAAUAUCAUUAUCUAUUGGUUAUGAGAAGUAGAGGAAUAUAUUUGCAGUGUAGUUUUCAAAUUAUCGGGAUGUUAUACUGUUGUUAUCUCGGAGAGCGGAUUUACAACGGAAAUUUCAGGGGUGUUAAAAGCUUGACUCACAAAAUUAAAGCGAUAGUUUGAAUUGGUCUUAAAUUUGAUGGGUGUGGAUUUGGGCUGAUGCCUGAUAUUGUGGACACUGGGUUCGAGAGACAGAGAUGGAUCUGCUAUAGACCCGCCCAUUCCCAUUUGUCGGGUUUUGUCCAUUGACAAUUCAAACUUGAAAGUCGUCUUCCUCCCAUGGGGAACAAAGAGAGAAAUUUUCAGGACGUUUACGGGAAAAGGAAAGAGGGAAAAAAGCAAAAGACAAAAAGGGGAACCUCGUAGCUUCUACGAUACUUCCAAAACUCAAUGGGAUGUAUGCAUUGCCAUGUCCUCACCUUAUAGAAAGUCUGGUCAGCCCCUUUUGAAAUGAAGAGUAUUUGUCCCCCCCUUUUUUUAAUUUUUUUUUGGCAAUUCACAAAUAAUAUAUUGCACUUUGUUUGUAGUAUUAUUCUCAACUGAACAUGGGAUAACUCUUUUAAAGGGGUAGUUUAAAUUUUCUGCUACAAUUAUAACACAACAAAUUAGAUCUGAAAUAUUUUUUAAAAUUUCUUUCAAAAACAUAUGUGAGAGACAGAAAAAUUUAUAUUAGUAACUCGGGACUUACAAUUAAUUCAACCACUUGGAAUGGAAGUUGUCACCGUUGAGUACCGGUAAGGCAAGAGAAAUUGUAGAAUACCUCAAAUAUAUUACAACCAAUUAAUGCAUGUAUGAUAUGUGUAAUUGAAUUAAUUUAACCACCACUUGCAUGAUAGUAGUUCAAAAUAAAUAUACACAUGUCAUGGCAUCAUUGCUUGUUGUAUGGGUGAUAUGAUGCCUCAAAUGUAUUCUAAAAUUUCUCGUAAAGCAGACAUAGAUUAGCGUUCCAACCAAACAUUAGUCUUCCAUCUCUAAUAAUCAAAAUCAAUCCUAAUAAUUAUAGCCGUAAUAAAAAAUUUCACUAAAGAAACUAUAUUUCCAAGCGUUGUUUUUAAAAUACGGAUUCGAGAUUUUACAAUAUUGUAAAAGAUUUUUAUAAUCUGUAAAAUUAAUUUACAGCAUUGUAAGAGCUAUAUAUAUAUAUAUUCACGAACAAUUGUAUUUCGUAAAAACUUUAUAUGUUAAUCAAUAUUAUUCAAAUGUCCAGUAUCUUUUUUUUGAAUUUUUUGUCUUAAAAUUUUGUUAAAAAUGUGCCCAGCUGGAUCUAGUUAUGGCACCCGAUUUGUUGUGCUAUGUAAUAUGUGUUUAUUUUCCUGGAUCUAGUUAUGGCACCCGAUUUGUUGUGCUAUGUAAUAUGUGUUUAUUUUCAUUAUUAAUAGAUGUUGUAUAUAUCAACCUAGAUAUCUUGUCAAUUGAAGCAAUUGGUCUUAUGCAAGUCCAACAAAGUCGUAUAUGUAAUAUGUUGACAUUUAAGUUCGAACAUUAUAAAAUUCUAAAUUUUUUAUUAAAUUGAAGGUAUUGAAGAAGUAUGUAUCUGCAUUGCCCAUUUCCCCUGAAUUAUCCAUCACAAUUUCCUUUCUUCUCUACGUAGAGAUGCCGCGUUUUCGUGUAAUUCAUUCCACUGGAAAUUACACGGAAGGGGAAAGAAAGAGGAAAGUUCUUGGAUUUUUACUUUUUCUUUUUUCUUUUUUAAUUAUACAUACAAUUAAUUUACAUAUACAUAUAUAUAGACGGAUGAAGAAACCCCACCCCAGAAAGAGAGAAAAGUUGUAAUUAAUUAACAAUGUAAGAGUGAUGUGAGCUCAACUGCGAGAUGGGAAGAAGAAUGUAACACAUAAACACAGUGUGAGUGUCUGUCAAUUGUCAUGGCUAACUUGGAGAAGUUGUUUCAGGAAGCUUGCCAAAGAAACGAUGUCGAAGGAGUCAAGUCAUUAAAUUCAAAGCAUCCGAAUUUACUGGAUGAGAUUAUUAAAGCAUGCCAACGCUCGGAUGAUCCUCUGCUCAUCACCGCCUGCUUGCCUGGAAGCCUUGAAGUCGCUAAAGAAAUGGCAAGGCUGUGGCCUCAACUUGCCAGUAUUAAAAAUCAGCGAGGUGAAACAACCAUGCACUUACUUUCUACGGAUGGGGAUGCCGAGACGGUUCGGAUUUUCGGAGAGAUUAAUCGUGAACUGUGCCUUGAAGUAGACAACUCUUCAAUGAUACCGCUACACAGAGCAGCUUUGGAUGGUAAUUCUGAUGUUAUUAGGGCUUUAGUUUCUAUUUGCCCGGAGUCGCUUGAGAAGUUGACUUCAAAUGGAGAGACGGCCCUUCACCUUGCUGUGAAGAAGUCCCGAUCGGACGCCUUUGAAGCCUUGGUGGAUGAGGCUAAGAAUCACAGAAAAGAGCAUCUCUUCACUUGGAAAGACAAGGAGGGCAAUACAGUAUUGCACCUCGCCACACUUAACAAGUUAAAGCAGGUAAGCUCUGUCUCUUGCAAACACAUUUUUUUGAAUUUUGAUUGCCAAAACAUAACGCAUGCCUUGACAAUCCUGUCGCGUUCAUUGCAGAUAGUGGAGCUACUCAUCCGUGAGAAUUCCAAUAGGCGCAUAAUGAUUCGAAUUAAUACCGUGAAUAAGGAGGGACAAACAACCUUACAGUUAUGCAAUGCUAAUUCUCAGGAUUCUGCUUUCAAGGAAAUAGGCUGGAUCAUUCAACGAGCUAUUGCUCAGCAAUCUCCGCAGCUCCCUGCAGAUGGAGCCGCCAAUAGCAGCAGGAACCAAACACGGUGGCCCAUGCAGACAAGAAACGUGUUAUUGAUGGUAGUAGUAACGAUUGCUGCAGCAUUUUUCAUGGUAGCUUGCCAUUUGCCAGAUUCCUUAGUCAGAGAGGAUACUCUUGCCGGUAAAAGUCUUUAACUAAAUUAUUAUUUUUCUUUUGGUAGUGUUUACAAUUUGCUAAGGAGGAUUAUCUUGCAGUUAAAACAUUGCAUGCUGAUGAGGAUGACGUACUCAGUAAGUUGCCAACCGUUGUCUACAUCAUGAUUUUCAACUCUGCUGGGUUCUUGACAACCAUGUUUGCCAUUGUAUUGCUCGUAUGGCCGUUGCAUUUGAGAACAUUUGUGCUCUUUCUUGUAAUCUGCACGGCCAUCGUUUAUAUUCUCUUAGUGGACGAGAUCAUACCUAAAUUCUAUGUGAAAGUUGGGAAAUCAAGCAUCUUAAGCAAUGGGUUGGUGUGGUCAUUAGUCCUUGCCCUCAUUUUGUUCGGAAUGUCUAUACUAAGUAUGGGGAAAUUCACUUUGUCCUUUUGGCGCUUCAUUAUCCGU
rnacentral:lncRNA from 1 species